rnacentral:lncRNA from 1 species
CUGAAAACUCUAGUCGUUGUGGUCAGAGUAUGUCUCUUUCUGAUUAGAUUGAAUAAAGAAGUCUCUUGCUGAGUGCUUGAGCAAAGAAGUCUCUUACUGGGUGCUUGAGAAAAUAAGUCUCUUUCUAGAUAGAUUGAGCAUUGAAGUCUCAUGCUUGAGGGCAAAGCAAGGAAGUCUCGAUCAGUGUGAUUAAGCAUUGAAGUCUCAUGUUUGCGGACAUAGCAAGAUGUCUUGAAUGAGUUGUUCAUACAUUGAAGUCUCAUGCUUGAGGGCAGAGCAGAAGUCUCUUUCCAUGUGAUUGAGUAGGAAGUCCUGGACGGGUAGUUCAGGAAAUGAACUCUCUUGCUUGAGGGCUUAAGCAAAAGUCUCUUUCUAGUUUAACUGAGCAAGUUUUAAGUUGUUGAUUAUAGUUAAAAUAUCUUGUGCUGCAAUGAGACUGGAUUACUCUCAGUUGAGAUGAACCAUGAUAUAUUGUGUGUCUAUUUAUUUACUUAUGCAUUUGGACAUUAAUGUUAAAGCUUGGAGAUUAUAUUAUUGAAGAUGCUUUUCAUCUACGCGAGAGAGAACUAGUGAUGCAUUGUCGUGAAGAUUUUGGACAUUGAACCACACAUCGUUAGUUGCGUUGCGAGUGUGAACUGGCUUCGAACCUGCCAUUAGACGAGAACAUGGUUGUGAUGGUGUAACUGAGGAAGCUUGAGGAAAUCAAUGAAGAAUUCGAAAAAAUCAAAAGACGAUUCUCACACUAAUAACUACUAUUUCAUAUUGGAACAAAGAAUCGAUUAUUGGUUGAUGAUGAUCACUACAAUGAGGGUUUUGGUGCGGUGGUAAUGGUUCUUAGGUGAUUAGAGAGAAAUACUUGCAAAAAGCUAAUUCUCUAAUGCUCUACUAUCACUAUCAGAGUGAAACAAAACUUUACAAAUGUGGGUGAAAAUAGUAUUUGGGUGUGACUCAUGAACGCUGAGGCCAAGCUUUUGCGUGGUGCCCAAAAAGGGAAUCCACAUGUAUAUUAUUGAUUGACAUUCUUCAUAAAUUGAGUUUAUAUAUUUGAUCGAUAUUAAUUGGCCGAUUACCGGUCUAAAAAAAAUUGAUAUCCAUUAAACUAAUCUUUUUUUAUCAAAAUAAAUAAUUUUUAAUUGAAUAAUUUGUGAUUUAUAAAUAAAGUAAUUUUAUAAUAAAAAAGGAUGUAUGAGUAUAUUGUUUUUAUCUAUAUACCUAUUGUAACCUUUCUCAAAUAAGUUAAUGUAAAAAAACAUAUUAGUUAUACAUUUGUUGUUACUUUUUUUUGUUUAAAAUUAUUUAUUUGUUGUUAAUACAUAUAAUUAGACUUUUUGUACACAUCAAUUGAGACUUAGGUUUUAAUAUAAAAAAUUUAGACGUGUGAAACGUAAACGCAACAUUAGGUGAAAUUACUUGGUUUUGUCUUUCAUAAAAUGAUUCACAUGGAGUCAUAUUGACUAAUGUUAAUUUAUUUUUAUAAUAAUGUUGAUUAAUGUUUAUUUAUAGUAUCUAUCUUCCAAGUGGGGUGGUGGUAGUUGUUAUAAGAAUCCGUACUCCGGGCGUGCACAAAGAUAUCUGUUGCACGACUUUUAUUUUCUUUGAGAUAAAAAUUAGCAACUUGUCAAUUAAUUAAUAUUAUAUUAGUUCAAGAUAGAAUAGAUGCCAAAAAAGAAGAUAAAAAAAUUAACAUUUUAUACUGCGGGUUAGGUUGAAUGGACAAAUUAUAUUGUACUUAGGUUGCAUGGACAUAUUAUAGGUUGAUAACGACCACUAUUGUGAGGUUUGUGGUGCGGUGGUAAUGAUUCUCAGAUGAUCAGAGGGGGAAUAUUUACAAAAAGUUAAUUCUUUAAUGCUCAAGCUAGAAUUUGAGUGAGAUAGGUAUGUCAAUGAAUCCAACCGAAUGAAGAGUUUUAGAGAGAGGAACUCUUCAUUCUCUCUAAAACUUGUGGUUCCCUUGUUUGGUGAGUGUCGUCUCCCUUCUUAUAGGGGUUUCUCCUCCGUCACUGGAGCUCUUCUCCGCCAAUAUGGAGGUUGUCUUCUCUUCAAUAGAGGUCUCUCCUCCAUUGUAAGUUUUUCUUCCUUCCUUCUCACUCCUUUGCAUCACUCAUCUAUUUUGGAUCCAUGCCUUAUUCUACCUCCAACCUCCAUCAAGUUUCCCCUCCUCUCCGCCAAUAACCGUCAAAUGUUUGCAACUCCAAAAUCACUUACCAAUGGACUAAAGGGGUACGAACAUAAAAAAACGACCUCCACCACCAGAAAAUAUGAAAUUUCUGAGAUUUUGUGUGUGUGUGUACUUGUAAUGGUUAUUGUUAUUGUGUUUGUGUUGUUCUUGUUUGUGCUUUAUUUUUGUUCAGUUGUUUAGGUUGUUUUAAUUUUAUACUUAUGGUGUUCGAUGAAAUGCUUCAAAGAAGCUUGGAUGGAGAAGAUAUGUUUAUAAGUGAGAAUCUAACAAUGGUUGUUGCAAAUCAAACUCUCCUUUCUAGUCAACAGAUGAUUCCUCCAUAAAUUGUGAGUUUAAUCAAACUUGAGAACCUGUAUAAUUGAACUGUGCAACCCAAAGCUAAAGAGGUGAUAUGUAACUAGAUAGAUUUAAAGAUUGUGGUUCUUAAACUCACUUAUCACUUAGGUUUUGUUUGGAUUUAUGAAAUCGGAUGGAGCGGAGCGGAAUGAGAUGAAGUGGAAUGAUAUUUCAUUGUUUGGAUCAUUUAAAAUUUGAUGGAGCGGCGCAGAAUAGAAUGGUAUGGAUUCCAUUCCAUUCCAUCACUUACCACCAUAUUUCUUUCCCUCCAAUUUGAACGGAAUGAACAACUUGCCUUAUUCCGUUCUAAAAUUUUUAAACAAUGGAAUGGAGCAUUCGUUCCGCUCUGCUCCGUCUCACUCUGCUCCAAUCUAUUCCACUUUGUUUAUUUUAUGAUAUCCAAACAUAGCCUUAGGGAAGAAAUUUGUUUUGCUGCCUAGAUUAAGGAAUUGGAUUGAUAAUUCUCUAUUGAUUUUUAAAUUCUCAAAGUUUAUUGAUGUCCAUAACUUAGUUGACUUAAUUAUUAAUGUUGUUUUUAGAAUAUGGAUGAGAAAUGCCCUAACACAAUAUCUAUCAUUUGUACUCUCUAUUUUUCAUAUAAUGCAUGGAGUUAUUUAUUGUAAAAAAGAAAGAAAAAAAAGUUAGAGUUCGAGUGAGACAGAACGUUAUAAACAUGAGUGAAAAAAUAUUUGAGUAUGACUUGUGAACAAGAGGUCGUACUUUGUAUAGUAUCCAAUAAUAAGAUUCAUAUUGUACGAUAUUGAUUGACAUACUUUCACUAGAUCGAAUAUAUAUAUAUAUAUUUAAAUUUAAAAACUAAAAAUUAAAAAAAAUAUUUAUUAAAUUAUUUUUGCGAACAAAAUAAAUAUUUUUUUAUCGGAUAGUUUAUUAUCUAUAAAUAGAGUAAUUUUAUAAUCAAAGACGAUGUAUGAGUAUAUUGUUUUAUCUAAAUAUCUAGUGUAACCGUAAAAGAACAUAUUAAUUAUUCAUUUUGUUGUUAAUACAUAUAAUUAGACUUUUUGCCCACAUCAAUUGUGACUUAAGUUUUAAUAUAAAAAAUUUAGAUGUGUGAAACGUAAAAGCAAGAUUAGAUGAAAUUACUUGCUUAAGUAUUUAUAGAAAAUUAUUCACAUGGAGUCAUAUUGACUAAUGUUAAUCCAUUCUUAACAAUGAUAAUUUGUUUUUUAUAAUAAUAAUGAUUAAUGUUUAUUUAUAGUAUCUAUCUUCCAAGUGGUUGUAGUUGUUAUACGGAUCCGUACUUCAAGUGUGCACAAAAGUUUCUUAUGCACGACUUUCAUUUUCUUGAGAUAAAAAUUAGCAACAUGUAAUUAAUUAAUUUUCGUUAUGUUAGUUCAAAAUAGGAUACAUAGGCCAAAAAAGAAGAUACAAAAAAUUAACAUUUUAUAUUGUGGGUUAGGUUGCAUAGAUAAAUUUAUCAUAUAAGGAUGAGACUGCAAGUUCAAAUUUUAAUAUUAGAUAUAUAAUUAAAUAUUGUAAAUUAUUAAGGGACAAAAAUCUCCUACUUCAAGCACAUGACAGUAAAUUAGUUUUUUUAUUUUUUAUUUUUUUUUGGAAGAAGUAGUUUCAUUGCAUGCAUCCUUUAAGUUAGGCAGACUUAUGUUUAUUAAAUUAAAUUAAAGUAGUUUUGUCAUCUUAAAUUUAAUUUGUGGAGGGACUAAUUAUUGAAAGUGAAUGAAGAAUAUUUUUAUAUUGAGUUUGUUACACAAUACUAAAAUAUCAAUAAUUCCUUGCAAUUUUUUUUUUCAAAUGGUUGAUGCAUAUUCUAAGUAUUUAGAUAUACUAUUUGAAAAGAUCCAUUAACGUAUGAUAUGAUAAAAUUUUGAAUAAAAAAAUAGAAAUAUAUUUUUAAAUAAUUAAUAUUUUGAUCAUUCAAUCCUAAAAAACCCUUAUUUAGAUGUAUACAAUGUGAAAUAAAACAAUUAAAAAAAACUUUAAAUAUUAACUCUUACUCAUAUUACAUAUAAUAUAUUAUAUGUUUUAUGGCUCCAUAAAUAUUUUCAUCAUAUUAUAUUAUAAAGAAAUUAUACCUAAACUUUUGUAUCGGCCAAAGGUUCAAUAAGAUAAGGUUCAUUUACUUUAUCCGUUUCAGUAUAAAUUUUGAAGAAAUGUUUUCAGGUACAUAAUUUCUAAUAUUCACUUUCAGUGUAGUUAUCUUGAAUCCUAAUUAUUGACUUGGACGUUGAAGUGUUAACAAUGCAGGUACCCCCUAGGUCCACUAUAUCAGAGAUAAGCAACCGAAGUUCAAGAUUAACCUCAUCGAUUCCAAAAACAUCGAGAUCAUAACAUCCGAGCAAAGGUGCCGUCUCACGGAGUUACUUAGUAAGCUUUGCUCCGCCGUGGUUUUCGCAUUCUCAUCCAUUUCUGAUUCGACAACGAAAAAAGUGGCGUCGUUUGUGGGAACCACUUUAGAUUCCUUCAAUUUAUGAAAGUCAUGAUUGCUUCAGAAGCACCAUCAAACGGACAGAGAAAUUCCAGAUCCAGAUCCUAACGGCAAGUCACAAUUGCUUCUUGGUUCCAUCAUCCACUAUGCCUUCAGAUCUUAAAAUCGAAUAGCGCAAAGAGUCCAACGCCGAGAUCCAUGACAGACAGUACGUCAAAUCCUCCAAUUAAUUACGAUACUCAUCGACGAGAUCUAUAAUUUCCUCUAAAAAUCCCGUGAGUCAAUGGGAAAAACGAUCUGAGUGCAAAACUCGCGAACCACUAACUAGGCAGGGAGUCUCACGCUUUCCACAAUGACCUAGAUGGUCACAAAAGAAAAAUCAAGCAGGUAACACAAGUUCGUAGUUAAUGGAUCUUGGGCAUCGCGAGUUUGUAGUUAACACUGGGCGCCGAACAAAUGUUGGGGUGCAUCCCAUGGAUAACGUAUGAUUUCCAUAGGAUGCAUCAGAGUUUCCACCGACUGGAUAACGGAGCGAGGUUCCACUAGAAAUACCCCAUAAAAGAUAUUUUAGGUCCUAACCACAAGGAAACCAGUUGGUAUCCACGGGUGACCACUGUCCAACACUCUAGUUUGACAGAUUCACUAUAGUAUAUUAUGGGUUCUAGUUGUGAAGGGAAUGAACAAGUUAGAAUCUCGACGGUCCCUAGACAACUAAGCAAUUAGAUAUCCCAAAGAGAACUCUGAGUCUAGAUACGUAGAUCCACCUCGACCCCGAGAAACAGAGCAUGGCGCAUUCAUCAAAAACUAACAAUCUCCUAAUUUGAAGACCUAGUCCUCAUAUCAGCCAGAGGUCACACUGCCCGAACAUUACAUCCAAGGGCAAGCGAUCUGUAUACACUUGCAACCGACCAUAAUAUUUAAUUAAUGUAUUUAUAAAUAUAUUGCGUAACUUCAAUUACUGAUAUAAUUGUUAAAUGAAAACUAUAUACAUACAUGUAUUACUAUUAUAUUCUUAUUGCUCUACUUUUUAUCUUGUCCCCUCUUUAGGACACCACGAUGUAAAUGCAUGUAACAACGAACCUGAGCAUAAUCAGCACAGUUGAUGCUCGAGAUAAAGAUUUUGGGGGUGAUGUCGGGCAUAGUUGACUAAUACUGGUAGCAAUAUAUUCUGAUUUGUUGUUUACAUUCAAACCAUGAUCAUAGAUUUGACUAAUACUGAUCAAGUUAGUAGUUAGUCCUUCUACCAUCAACACAUUAUCAAGGCAAGGGAAACAUGGACAUACCAAUUUUCCCAUACCCUUGAUUUUCCCUCUAGCUCCAUCAUCAAAAGUAACAUAAUUAUUGGAGUAGGGUUUUAACUCUUCUAGAUAGUUCUUUUCUCCAGUCAUAUGCUUGAAGCAUUCAAUAUCAAAGUACCAAUCUUCUCUUAAGGAAACUCUAAGUGAGGCAUGAGUGAUGAGACUUAUGGUUGUUUAUUUGACUUUCCACAUUUUCCUUGCUUGAAUGUUCUUGCCUCUUUUUCUAUUGUGUCUUGGUUGACUAUAGGGUUGAGGAUAUCCAUACAUUUUAUAUCAAUAGGGUCUUAUAUAACCAUACUAUAAGAGAUGUACUAAAUGUAUUUUAUACCACAUUUUCUACCACGACAAAAUAUAAACUAGCAAAUGGACAAAUUUUUAACCAAAAUAUGGUUUAUAUGUAUACAUUAUAUGUAAGCACCAAAAUAUGACUUUAAUAUAGUACCAAAAUGUUAAACAAAACAAAAUAUUAUUUACAUCAAACCAUCAUACUCAAAAAUAUUGAAAACAUAUAUUACAAAAUCAAUGUGAUCAGUCUGGCCUAUAAAUUGCAUUAAAGCAAGAUGCCCAACGUGUACGAACGUCUUUAAAGCAAAAUCAAUGAUAUAUAUAUAUAUAUUAUAGUAUAUAUAUAUAUAUAUAUUAUAUAUAUAUAAUAUAUAAUAUAUAUAUAUAUAUAAUUGAAUAAAUGGAGGAUAAAUUGAUUUGGAACAAUAACAAACUUUUGUGCAUGCGAUAUAAAUCACUAAUAUGUUAUUGUAAAUAUAUAUAUACUUGCUCUCAAGAAUCAACAAUGUCGGCAGAGACAAUGUUUAUCAUGUACUUUAUGACAUACAAACCAAACUUGUAUCCUUAUGGUUGUUUCCUCAUCUAAAAACUUCAAACAUUACAUGAAUAUAUAAACAUACAUGUAAUUAUAUAUAAGUGAAUGUCAUAAGUAACCCGCUUAUCAAAGGCGUAUAAAAAAUUCGAGCCUUUUAUUUCUAACCUCGUUCAACAUAUUUUGUCGCUCCAUAACUCUAUAUAUUGAAAACAACUUAAACAUAUUACACGCUAAGAUAAUUACAAAGUCAAUGUAAAUAUUACUAAAAGUAUCAUAAAAUAUAAACUUACAUCAAAAGUAUACGUUUCAUCUUUGGUUCAAGUGGUUUGGCUAAAGAAAUAAUAUAGUGAUCAUAUUCUGCCGAAGAGAGAUGAUGAUCAAUUGUCAAUGACCACUGAAUGAACACGGAUAUAAUUAGAGUUUAGUAAAACAUGGAAACUAACUAUAAUAAAGAAAUCACAAUAGCAAAAUUAGUCACAGAUCGAUAAAUGAUGCUUAGUAACAGUCUUUAUUCCCUUCUCUGAACUGUGAUGAUAUGUAGGAUUCAAUCACUUUUGAAGAAUUAUCUGUAAAUCAAACACUAAAUAGGUCCAAGAAUCCAUAAAUAUAUGAUUUAUUUGAUGUUAUACAAAAACGAUGCAUGCACCUAAAUGGUUAAAUAAAAUUCAAAAAACAAGUGAGUCUUAACAUUAAAAUUACUGAUGUGCACACAUUUAAAAUUGACAUUUAUUAGAAUAGAAAUUGUACUUAUGUGCACCACAACAGUAGUAUCCCUACGUCCAACCACUCAUUUCCAAACAAAAAAUAUCUCAUAUCUUUAGGAUCAAUAUAAAAACCCUCUAUCUCUUGAUCAUGCUCUAAUUGAAGAGGAAUUAAUUUCUUAACAUCCAUAAUGUAACAUACCAAUAUUUUAAAAAGAAUCGUUCAAAGGAACCGUCAUCUUAUUUUAAGUACGGGCAUGGGCAGUCAAACAAUUUCCUUUUGUGUUCGCACCACCUAAAACAACACUUUCAGGCAAUUCAUCAUCUUCAUUUGUAAUCAAUUAGAAGAUUACACCCAUCGGUGCCAAUUUCUGCCUCAUAAAAAGAACAACAACACACAAUGCAUAAACAUUAUUUAUCCUACAGCAACACAACAUAAAUUCAACACACAAAAUGGUUUUCAUAUAUAUUUUUAAUUCUUUUGAUUAAAUAAUUUUAAAUUUUUUCAUUUUAUUUUUAUUACAUUUCCAAUACUGAUGGAUAUGCAGUUGUAUUUUAUUAGUCUUCAUUAAACCCAAAUUCCUAGCUAACUUAACAUGCCUUCCACCAAUGCAAUUGAAAGAACUACUACUUUAAAGAAACAAGAAGAAUUUAUGAGAACAAUCAUUAGCCAAUCAUUAUAUAAUAUUUGUUAAAUAUAACUCUGAUAAUAAUCAAUUGAAUACUUAAUUUGGCUAGUAAAGCUGAGGGAAAAUAGCUAGACGUCUUGUCCUUGAAUGCUGAUAAGUUAUUUUUUCUGAAUAUUUUGUUAUUUACAAAUAAAAAUAAUGUUAUCUAUUCAAUCAUAAUAUCAAUUUAAUAUUUAAUUUUAAACUUAAAUAUAUUGUAAUUUUGAUACUUUUUAAUCCUCCCUUUAUAUAAAAAUAAACAUAUGAAUAUUUAUGCAAAUUAAAAUUAUAUUUAAUUUAUAAUUUUAAUAAAAAUAAACUAUUAAUAAUUAUAAAUUUUUAUUACUAAAUUUUUAUUUUAUUUUAAUAUUUUAAAAUUUAUUAUCUUCUCGGGUUAUUCUUCCUUAUAUAAAAACUUCUAAAAAAAAAUUGAUAAAUAAAAUACUUUACUUUAACCAACAUAUUACAAAAGGGUUUAUAUGAUAUUUUUUAGGGUGUGCAAGUCGAUCUAUAACAUAGAGUCUCACACUUUUUAAUGAUUAAGAUGUGAUAAAAAAGAUCUCCAUACACAUGUUUCAGAAUUAAUUUACGGUUAAAUAGAGUUCUUUAAUAGAUUUCCCAACUCAACCUAAACAAACUUCGACUUCUUAUACAAGACCUCUAAAAAAUUUGAGACAACCCUAAGAGUUUACAACAUGAUUCACCAUAGAAAUGUUAGGUCAUCAAUUCUUUGGGGAUCAACACGAGGGAGCAUCUACAUACAUUGGAGUCUUUAUUUAUGAGUAACACAUCUUAUGAGAGAUAUACCACAUACUCACCCAAAACUUUAAGGUGAUAUGCGUAUGAAUUCUCUCACUUGUAAAAUACUUAAUCUCAACUUUUCUAAUCAAUGUGGGACUUCCCACACUUUGUUCCUCAACACUUUCAACUCAAACUUGUUUUUCUCAACAUUCUUCUCAAAUUGUGAGUCUAUCCACAAUGCUUCUACUCUAGCGGAAACUCUUUCAUCCACAUACGCUUGUAGAGUCGUUGACACUUUUUCAAGCAACACACCUCAUGACCACCACCGUGUGGGAAAGACUUUCGAUACAAGGGAGUCAGUCCUUCACUCGAACCAUCGACCUAUAAUACAACAGUUGGGUCAUCAAUCUUUUGGGGUCAACACGAGGGAGCAUCUAUACAUUGGAGUCUUUUUUAUGAGCAAUACACCUUGUAAGAGAUACACUAUAUAUUCACUAAAAACCUUAAGGUGAUAGAUAUAUGAGUUCUCUCACUUAUAAAAUAUUAAAUCUUGACUUUUCUAAUUAAUGUGAGACUUCUCACGCUUUGUUUCAACCUUCCAACUUAUAUUUCUUUUUCUCAACAAGAAAGAUAAAUGUUUACUCUAAUUUCAAAAUGGUUAGUUUGAGAAAUAAUCCAAUAUUGAUAAAAAAAGUGAAUAUUUAAUUAUCGACAUUAAGUUAGUUUCAUAACACAUCUCAAAAAUGUCUUAUAACAUCUCUUAAAAAUUAAAUAUUUUAAUUAUAAUAGUUUUAAAAAAUCUUAUUCUAAUAUUUGCUUUAGACUUCACAUUGACCAUAUGACACCCAUGCUUCUUUUAAAUAAUACAUCCACCGAUCUAAAUACAAUUCUUUUAACUUUCUUCAAAAUAACAGAGUACCUAAUCAAAAUAUUUGAUGUAUUUUCAUUGAUAUAAUAUUAUAUUAAUUAUGUUCAAACAUUAUAUUUUUCAUUGAUAUAAUAAGAAACGAAUAUUUUUCUUUCUUUUUUCAACUAGUCUUUUUGAGGAUUCUUUUCAUCUAAAUUGGCCUUGUAUUUUGACGAAUAAAAAGUCCAACUCUUGCUUUGUGUUGUCUCUAACCUAGUGACAAAGGAUUUAACAAAGUAAUAUUGUAAAAUCACCAUAAACAGAAAACUUAAAAUCUUGGUAAAUCACCAACGUAACUAUUUUUUUUGGGAUAAAAUUGAUAAAUCAGAUAUUGUUUUUAUUAGAAUAAAUUUUGUCAUAUACAUGGAAGUUAAAAAACGCGCGUUUGAAGUUUUUCGCAACUUAACCAAACAAACGAGUUUUUCACGGAAAAAUUGAAACACGUUUCUUGUUUUUUUCUUCUUAUUAUUAUUAUUAAGAAUGAAAUUUAAUAGUCUAUUUUAAUUAGCAGAUAAGAACAAAAGAUAUUUCUCAAUUUAGGUUUAGAAUAUGAAUUAAAAUUAUCAAUUAUUUCGAACUAGAACUAGAAAUUGGUAGAGAUCGAAUAGAACGGAGUUCUGAUGCGGUGGAGUCAACUUCCGCUACGGCGGAGCACAGUAAACAUAUCAUUCAAACGUCAAAGUUAGUGAAUGAAUGAAAAAAGUAGUAUGGAUGUAUGAAUGAAAGAAUACUUGAAACGACACAUGUUAAACUUUAUAUAAUGGGAGCGGCUAAAACUGCCCCCUUAUGAAUUUGUGUCUUACACAGGGACUGCCCAAUUGUAUCUGAUGAUGAAUGAUCAUUCGAGGGUGAUGAUCAAGUGCGGGUCCCCUAGUUGCAUGUCCCAUAAGCCCUUAACAUCUUGGCCAACAUGCCAUUUUCUUGAUCUUUACUUCUGAAUCAUCAUUUCACUAGGCUUUCUUUUUAUAGUGUUAUAUAAGCUCUCUUCAGAGUGAGCGAAUCCUCGUGAAACCACUCAUGUAUUUCUCACAGUGGUAUGCUUUGGUGGUACUUCAUCUAAUUGAUCUUUAGUGUCAUUUGUUUUCGUUCUGAUAUUAAUAGGGAGUGCCACCCAAGGUUGGAGUGAUCCCUUCUCAAUGUUCAUUAGAAUGAGUAGAUUUUCCCACUCACUAAACGUUCCUCCAACCAUGGUGUUUGUGAUCGAUAGUCCAUUAUCCUUUUCAUUGUCAGAUUGUUUUUUCUUUUAUCCACUUGAGUCACUUUACUCUUUCAUUACGGGCUUUCCUCACAUGGUCUCUUUUAUUUGGACACACUCUUGUCUUGGUGGGAGAAUCUAGACAACAUUUCUUCUUUGAUUGAGUUUUUAAUGACUUCCUUCAACCCUACACACUCCUUUGUGUUAUGAAUGUUACAACGAUGGAAAUGACAAUACAAUGAUUUGUCAACUUCAGGAUGUUCCCAAUUUAGCUUUGUGCUUGAACUUGCUAUUCUUGGAAUUCUGCUUUGGUGCAUUCUUGCAUGAUACACCCUCUCAAUGCAUUCUGAAGGGUGUAAUCCUGUUGUCUGGAUGGUGGCUCCCAUUGCCUUCUCGGCAUAGUCAGGAAUCCUUUUUAGCUUUGAUGCAUUCUUGCAUGAUGGACUCUCUCGAUGCAUUCAGAAGAGUGUAAUCUUGCUAUUUGGAUGAUGGUGGCUCUUGCUUUCUCAGCCUAUUCAAGAAUCCUUUUUAGCUUCAUCCCUUUUCUCAUUUCUUUUUUUAGUCUUCUUAGCUCUUUUUUUUGCUUGUCUCCACUUUCUCGAGCCCUCCACCAUAUAGUGUCAUACUCAGGGUCAACUUUUCUUUAUAUUAUAUAUAAUUCUUGACCUUUCCAAGUAGGUUGAUAAAUUUUUUUGGGUCCUGAUAGUGAUGAUAUUGGCAAAUUUAAAUCUCAAUUGGAGUUUAAGACUUAACACAUAUUGUAGAUGUUUGAUUGGCGGCAUUUUGUGUUAAAACACUAACUGUACUCUGAUGUCUUGACUGACGUCAUGACAUGCCUUGUAGAUGUUUGAUUGGCUGCAUUCUGUGUUAAAACACUAACUGUACUCUGAUGUCUUGACUGAUGUCAUGACAUACUUGAGUAGUAUGCUGCAGGUUUAGCUAAUACAGGAUACUCUGAUGUCUUGACUGAUGUCAUGACAUACUUGAGUAGUAUGCUGCAGGUUUAGCUAAUACAGGAUUUACUGAAUGUCAAACUAGAUGUUAUGACAUUCAUCCAUGACAGCAAAUACUGAACUAUAAAAUAGUUGGUUUUUUCUGUUAUAACUCAGUAUUGAGUUCAGUCUGUGUUUCAGGAGAGUAGCAGACCUGGCACAUAGCCUACUGUCUGAAUGUCAAACAGAAUAUUAUGACAUUCAUCAUUGUCAGCAUUUACUGAAUAAUAGGCAGGUUGGUUUUUCUGCUACAGUUCAGUAUGUAUUUCAGUCUGUUUAUCAAGGGAAUAACAGACCUGGCAUAAGGCUCAUUGUCUAAAUGUCAAACUGGAUGUUCUGACAUUUAUCUCUGUCAGCUGAUACUGAAGUGUAGACUGGUUGGUCUUUUACAGUACAACAUUUAGUACAGUCUGUUUUCAGGAAAAUAACAGACUUAGCAUAUGGCCUAUGUUCUGGACAUCAAACAGAAUGUUGUGACAUUCAUUCCUGACAGCAUAUGCUAAAGUGUAGGAUGGUUAGUUUUUCUGUUUCAGUAUUUUUCUCAGGCUAUUUUUCAGGAAUCCAACAGCUGAGCUAAAAUCCAGGAAACUAACAACUGAGCUACAAUUAAUGAACCUAACAAAUAGCCUAUUUGUUAGCACCCUAAUAUGUGGAAAUUAGGUUAACUUGCUUAACCUUAAUUUUAGGAAAUACAAGUACAAGGCCCAAGUGCUGCAAUAUAAAAGGAUGGCAAUCCUNNNNNNNNNNNNNNNNNNNNNNNNNNNNNNNNNNNNNNNNNNNNNNNNNNNNNNNNNNNNNNNNNNNNNNNNNNNNNNNNNNNNNNNNNNNNNNNNNNNNNNNNNNNNNNNNNNNNNNNNNNNNNNNNNNNNNNNNNNNNNNNNNNNNNNNNNNNNNNNNNNNNNNNNNNNNNNNNNNNNNNNNNNNNNNNNNNNNNNNNNNNNNNNNNNNNNNNNNNNNNNNNNNNNNNNNNNNNNNNNNNNNNNNNNNNNNNNNNNNNNNNNNNNNNNNNNNNNNNNNNNNNNNNNNNNNNNNNNNNNNNNNNNNNNNNNNNNNNNNNNNNNNNNNNNNNNNNNNNNNNNNNNNNNNNNNNNNNNNNNNNNNNNNNNNNNNNNNNNNNNNNNNNNNNNNNNNNNNNNNNNNNNNNNNNNNNNNNNNNNNNNNNNNNNNNNNNNNNNNNNNNNNNNNNNNNNNNNNNNNNNNNNNNNNNNNNNNNNNNNNNNNNNNNNNNNNNNNNNNNNNNNNNNNNNNNNNNNNNNNNNNNNNNNNNNNNNNNNNNNNNNNNNNNNNNNNNNNNNNNNNNNNNNNNNNNNNNNNNNNNNNNNNNNNNNNNNNNNNNNNNNNNNNNNNNNNNNNNNNNNNNNNNNNNNNNNNNNNNNNNNNNNNNNNNNNNNNNNNNNNNNNNNNNNNNNNNNNNNNNNNNNNNNNNNNNNNNNNNNNNNNNNNNNNNNNNNNNNNNNNNNNNNNNNNNNNNNNNNNNNNNNNNNNNNNNNNNNNNNNNNNNNNNNNNNNNNNNNNNNNNNNNNNNNNNNNNNNNNNNNNNNNNNNNNNNNNNNNNNNNNNNNNNNNNNNNNNNNNNNNNNNNNNNNNNNNNNNNNNNNNNNNNNNNNNNNNNNNNNNNNNNNNNNNNNNNNNNNNNNNNNNNNNNNNNNNNNNNNNNNNNNNNNNNNNNNNNNNNNNNNNNNNNNNNNNNNNNNNNNNNNNNNNNNNNNNNNNNNNNNNNNNNNNNNNNNNNNNNNNNNNNNNNNNNNNNNNNNNNNNNNNNNNNNNNNNNNNNNNNNNNNNNNNNNNNNNNNNNNNNNNNNCUAAUAGUGGAUUUCCUCCCUGGCUUGGUAGCCCCCAGACGUAGGUGUGUGUGACACCGAACUGGGUAAACAAUUCCUUGUGUUAUUUACUGCACUUACAUUUACCUGCUGUUUACAUUCCUGUCUACGCAGAAUCGGAUGUCAUAACAUCCUGUGUGACAUCGAUAGUCUGUUAACUAGAAUUUCAAUUGGCAUCAGAGCAGGCACCCUGCCUGUUAAUUUCUGGGUGAGAUCUAGGGACGUUACUUUCUAGUACCAUGGACAAGGAUGUAGGAUACUCAAACAGACCACCCAUGCUGGAUGGUUCGAACUAUGAUGACUGGAAACCUCGUAUGAUAGCAAGGUAUGGAGAGCUGUCAACAAAGGAUGGGAACAUCCAACAAAGACAGGUAAAGAUGGAAUCAUUCUGCAAAUUCCUGAAGAAGAGUGGGACAAGGAGCAAGAGGCACUAGCCCUUGGAAACUCUAAGGCCUUGAAUGCACUGUUCAAUGGAAUAAAUAAAAACAUUUUCAGACUGGUGCAUCACUGUGAGCUGGCUAAAAAAGUUUGGGAUACUCUAAAGAUAACUCAUGAAGGUACCUCCAAGGUGAGGAUGUCUAAACUUCAGAUGCUGACCACCAAGUUUGAAAAUCUGAGGAUGAAAGAGGAUGAGACUAUUCAUGACUUCCACAUGAAUAUUCUUGAAAUUGCCAACACUUCUGGUGGCUUAGGAGAGAAAAUGGCUGAAGAAAAACUUGUAAGAAAGAUUCUCAGAUCAUUGCCAAAGAGAUUUGCCAUGAAGGUCACUGCUAUAGAAGAGGCUCAAGAUAUCUGCAAUAUGAAGGUUGAUGAGCUUAUUUGUUCUCUCCAAACCUUUGAAAUGGGCUUAUGUGAGGAUGUUGAAAAGAAGAACAAAAGCAUAGCUGUUGUAUCAAAUACUGAAGAGGAUUCAGAAGAAGGAAAUAUUGGAGGUAAUGAAAGCAUUUCAGAAGCUAUAACCAUGCUUGGAAGACAGUUCAACAAGUUCAUAAAGAAGGUUGAUCAAAAGGGCAGACCUAAUGUCAAGAACUCUUCAUCUGACAUCAGUAGAAGAUCAAAAUAUGAAGAAAAGGUCACCCAAGGCAAGGGAAUCCAGUGCCAUGGAUGUGAAGGUUUUGGUCACAUUAGAGCUGAAUGCCCUACCUUCCUCAAGAUGCAAAAGAAAGGGCUAUCUGUCACCUGGUUUGAAGGAGAUUCUGAGAGUGAAUCUGAAGGAGAAUCUGCUAAACAUGUCACUGCACUAACGAGUGUUUGUGCCUCUGAUGAUGACUCAAGUGGAGAUGAACUUACCUUUGAUGAACUUGCUGCUUCAUAUAAUGAACUAUGUGUCAAAAGUGCAGAAGUGUGUAUCCAAGGAGAAAAGCAGAAGAAACUCAUCAAGGAGCUGGAAGCUGAGAAACAGAAGCAGCUGACAGUCAUAGAUGGUCUAAAUGGUGAGAUAUCAUUGCUGACAUCUAAGCUAGAACAAAUGACAAAAUCCAUCAGAAUGCUGAACAAAGGAACUGACACCUUGGAAGAGAUCGUAAAGGUGGGACAAAAGUCAGGAACCAUGUCUGGUUUAGGCUUUGUUAAGAAAUCCUCAACUGAACUCAAAAUCUCAAAGGCUGAAGUUCAGAAUCUCAAGCAGAAGUCACAACCAAUGUCACAACAUCAGGGAACCAGGAGGAGUAACCAUCAGACGAAGAAAUUUCAGAGAUGAAGAUGUCACUACUGUGGUAGAUUUGGUCACAUAAAACCCUUCUGCUACAGGUUGCAUGGUUAUCCUAACCAGACCCCUCAAGUCAGACCUAAGCAGAAGGCAUCUAAGCAUAAUGCCCCCAUUAAGAAACAAAUGGUAGAUUUGGUCACAUAAAACCCUUCUGCUACAGGUUGCAUGGUUAUCCUAACCAGACCCCUCAAGUCAGACCUAAGCAGAAGGCAUCUAAGCAUAAUGCCCCCAUUAAGAAACAACAAUGGGUUACUAACCAAACACCUCAAGUCAGACCUAAGCAGAAGGCAUCUAAGCAUAAUACCCCCAUUCAGAAACAACAAUGGGUUGCUAGACUAGCUCACACAUCUCUAAGGGCUUCUACCAGACAAGAAUGGUAUUUUAAUAGUGGUUGCUCAAGACAUAUGACUGGGAUGAGUAACUUAUUGGUGGAUAUACAACCUCAUACUACCAGGUAUGUGACAUUUGGUGAUGGAGCUAAAGGAGAAAUCACAGGUGUUGGUAAGCUGGACUGUCCUGGAGCUCCAAAACUGAGUAAUGUGUUGUUAGUAAAAGGACUAACUGCUAAUCUUAUUAGCAUAAGCCAGCUAUGUGAUCAAGGUUUCUAUGUUAAGUUCAAUAAAGAAUUAUGUAUUGUGAUGAAUGGAUGCAAUCAGGAAGUUAUGAGAGGAGCCAAAUCCAAAAAUAACUGUUAUCUGUGGGAAUCUAAAGUCUCAAACAACUCUCCAAAGUGCCCCUUAGCCAAGGAAGAGCAGGAAGUGAAGCUUUGGCAUGGAAGACUUGGACAACUUCAUUUAAGAGGAAUGAAGAAGAUCAUAUCCAAGGAAGCAGUUAGAGGGAUCCCAAAUCUGCUUAUGGACGAAAGAAAAGGCUGUGGAAAAUGUCAGGUGGGCAAGCUAACCAAGAUGUCAUAUCCCAAGAUGGGACAUCCAAAAUCUUCCAAACUUCUGGAACUGGUGCCCAUGCACUUAAUGGUACCUAUGCAGAUUGAAAGUCAUGAGUUGUCCUCACCUAUUAGUCCUCAUCAAACUGGUGUAGUUGCAAGGGAGAAACAAAAGUGUGUAUCAUUAUCCACUGCAGAAGCUAAGUACCUAGCAUCUGGUAUCAGGUGUUCCCCACUGGUAUGGAUGAACCAGAUGCAGACUGAGUACAAUGUCACUCAGAAUGUCAUGACAUUGGAUGUUACUCAGAUUGACAAAUUAAGGGGCAAAGUGGGAAUGUGUCCUUCUGAGAAAUUAUAGCAACUAAUGAUGUUAGUUAUUUAUUGUUUAAUAAGUCAACUUAUUAAACAGUUGAUAAUUCACUCUGAUUGGUCAACAAAUAAUAGACACUUCUCGUGCAACAAGCGUUUCCUCUUCCAUCAUUUCAACUUUCAGACUUGCAAGCUUUCUCUCAAAGAAACUUUUCAUUUCUCCUCUGAGAUAUUCAUCAUGUCGCACCAAUCCGACUCAACUUCCUACACGACCAUGUCUGAUUCCUCUAGCUCUGAAUCAUGCAACCCUAACAGGGAAGAUCCUGUGCCUGGCUUUGCGAAUUCCUCACAUGCAAGAAGACCUAAAGAAACGGUCUCAGGCUUCUCCUCAGCAAUCGCGCUUGAUGAACAAACCAGGGAAGGCUCCAGGUAUGUUCACAAUGCCAUUGCAACUAUGGUGACUGGAAUUCUGUCUGGUAAUCAUAAAGUUCUUGGGGUCUCAGUUCCCUUAAACACGAUUGUUUCGGAAAAUGUUGCUUGUCAAGAAAAUACAGUUUCCUUAGGAAAGAAUGUGUCUGAUGAUGCUGAGCGAACUGAUGCUCAUGAGGGGUCAAAUAUUGACAAACCCUUAGACAAUAUGGGUGGUGAGGAAAUCCGUGUCACUCAUGAUGUUAGUGACAACCCUAAUUGUGCAGCUGAAACCGUAGACCUAGAGGAGUUUUCUGAUAAUGAGUUAUUGACCUCAGUUGUCCCUAACAUAGCCAAAAGGGUUAGGACUAGGAGAGAAAAGAAGACAGUGGUGCAGAGGUCCCCAAAAAGGAAGAUUGAUGUGGCAACUUCUCCCAAUCCAAAGGUGACAGAGAGCUCCCUCAAGAGGAAAGGGCAUGGUCCAACAAAAUCUUGGAGCAAAGAGGUGCCCAAGAAAAUGAAGACCAAGUCUGUUGUUGUGGAAUCUGACUCAGAUGUCCCAUGUGAUGUCACAACAUCUCUGUUGAGGUACCUAUUGACAACAUAUCAAUAUCCAUUUGGGCUUCUUGUGUGAACAAGGUGGAAGUGUUUAGUCACAAGAGGCUCCUGGAAUGUAAGGAGAUUGUAGACCUUAUUCAAGAGGCAGGGUUAAUGAAAACUGUGACUCAGCUCUCAAAGUGCUAUGAGAUUUUAGUAAAGGAGUUUAUUGUCAAUGUGUCUGAGGAAUAUGCUAAUGGAAAGUCUAGGGAAUUCAGAAAAGUAUAUGUGCGAGGCAAGUGUGUGAACUUAUCUCCCUCAGUAAUCAACAUGUAUUUGGGAAGACCUAAUGUAACUCAACCUGAUCUUGAGGUGACUGACAACAAAAUCUGUCAAGUCAUCACUGCUAAUCAAGUCAGGAAGUGACCUCUGAAAGGUAAGUUGGUGGCCAACAAACUCAGUGUCAAGUAUGCUAUGCUGCACAAAAUUGGAGCUGCCAACUGGGUGCCCACCAAUCACAAAUCUACUGUGGCUGUGAUGCUUGGAAAGUUCAUAUAUGCUGUUGGAACCAAAGCCAAGUUUGACUAUGGAACCUACAUUUUUGAUCAAACCAUGAAACAUGCAGGAAGCUUCAGUGUCAAGGGGCAUAUAGCCUUUCCUUCUGUCAUAUGUGGUAUUGUGUUGAAUCAAUUUCCAAACAUAAUGACAGAGAAUGAUUUUGUGAAAAGAAGAGAGAGUCAUUUGGCCUUCAAUCAUAAACUAUUCCUAGGUAAGCAUGUCCCUAACAUUGCCAUGACAACAGGAGAGACAUCAAGUGUUUGCAAUCAACUAGGUAAAGCUGCUGUCAUUGCAAUACUCAGAGAAACGUGCAAGGAGCUAGAGGCAAGGAAGCUCACUUUGGAAAAUUUGAUUAUCAAAUUGGAGAUGACUGAUGAUGGUGUGCUUGGUGAAGCUGUUGAUGCCACAGAAGGAGCUGCAAGGCAAAGUGCAGAGGGUGAAGAGGAUGCCAGUCCUGAUGAUGGCACUGAUGAUGAGGCUGACUCUGAGUCAGAUGAUUAAAUCAUUUCCUGUGUUUCUGACAAGUUUGUGUAAUUCUGUUUUAUUUUGGUCUGUAAUUUUAAGUGUUGCUUUGGCAACAUUUUUGAGAAAAAGGGGGAGUAACACCUGUGCCCCAAGACAACAAAUUUGCUAUGUGCUUGAAUAGAUAUUGAAGAUCCUCUAGUCCAGAGGUUGUGUUGCAGCUUGAUGUUCAACUGCUAUGUGUGAUGAGUGUGUGUAUGUGCUGCUGUUAGAAGUUUUUAUUUAACUUUUGUGUGUGUGUGUGCUGCUGUUUGAAGUUUUUAUUUAACUUCUAUGUGUGCUGCUGUUUGAAGUUUUUAUCUAACUUCUAUGUCUGAUGAGUGUGGUGCUAUUCUGAGUGUAUUAGCUAUGUUAAUUUCUCUGCUUGGAUGUGUGUUUUCCGUUGCUGUGAACUCUGUUGUGAUGCCAAGUUGUUUUAGCCAAAAAUUUGCCAAAGGGGGAGUUUGUAGAUGUUUGAUUGGCUGCAUUUUGUGUUAAAACACUAUGUACUGUAGCGGUGUGAUGUCGCCAUAAUGAUUUAUCGAUUAAAUUCAUGAACCAGAGAUUACAAUUGAAAUUUUCGAGUCGCCACCGCACUUUUAUUUCAUCCAGGAAUGGCUAAAAAGCGAACAAAAGCCUAAAAGUUUACAGUAGAAAACAAUAAAAAAUAGAGAUUCUGGGUAAGGGUAAAUGUACGCAAUGGAAGUGUUAGGCACCCCUACGUCCCAGGUACUCCUAGGGACCCUUUUCAACACUUGUUGUAACAGAUUGUUAUUGUUAUCGACUAGAUGUGCAACAUGUUGGGAUGAUUGAGAAAGAAUGUACAAUUUUAUGGUGUUUGAAGGGAUGACACCGUCCUACGUACUUCCCAUCAAAGGUAAGGACAAAACGACCGUAGUUCGGCUAAAAGUAUUCCAAAAGUUGGUGGAUUCAGUUUUAAACACAACACUGAUGCUUCUUCUUAUCAAUGGGAGGAACACUCGACAAAAACAACAUCCACCAUCAUGGAGGCAUAGCUUCGACGUACUAGAGGGUUAGCCCCUGUUUCAGCACGGAAGUCUCUACUGUCUGACUCACUAAGGAUAGGCAAGAUUUACAUCAACCACUAAGAUUGAAUUGAAGCCUUAAUGGCUAAUGCAUGAAAAGAUAACAAUGGACAAAGCCAAACAAGUGAAUGAGUGAAGUUAAUUGAUUGUGAUAUGAAAAUGAAGUCCAAAGAAUGAUUAAAGAUUGAUUCGAAAGAAGUGUUAUGAAAUGGAGUUUGAAAAAAAGUCAAGGACUUGGGUCCAGGUUUUUUUUAGUAGAAAACAUGAAGAUGUUUGCACAACACUUAUGUCAAGUUUGAAAUCAAAGUGUGAAAAGGUUUAGGACCAAAUGGGAUGAAUGGAUGGAGAUGGAUUGUAAAACUUCUUAGAAGGUUCACCUCUUGAAAUCAUAUAGGAGAUGAUUCAAGUGUGCCUUUGGAAUAGCAAUGGAUAAUAACAAACAAACAAGAAAGUCAACAAAAGCGGGAUAUCGGAUGCCAAUCACUGGGCUAUACCAAUCUCCUAAAUAUAGACGGAUAUCAGAUGCCACUCAAUGGUCUUACACUAAUCUCCUCAAACAAAGAAAUAAAAAGGUGGAUACCGGAUACCAAUAGAUGGAUUACACCAGUCUCCUAAAACAGAAAUGGAAUCAGAGGCCACUCAAUGUCUUACACUAAUCUCCUAAAACAAAAUGAAACUUGGAUACCGGAUGCCAAUCUGUCUGGACUUAUACAAUAUCAACAUAUGAUCAUAGGAAAGCAAUGCCAACUUGCAGGGACUUACAGUUGCAACCUCACAUAAACAAACAAAAGCAAAACAUGGAUGUCAGAUGCCAAUCUGUCUGGCUUACUCUAACCUCCACAGUAUGGUCCUAGGAAUACAAAUGCCAACUUGCAGGGACUUACAGUUGUAUCCUCACAUACAAACAAACAAAGCAACAUGUGAUCAUAGAAAGCAAAUGCCAACUUACAGGGACUUACAUUGCAACCUCACAUAUAAUCAAAUGCAUCAAGCAAAGAUAAGAUGAGUGGCCAAUGAAAUGGUCUUAUACCACUUCCAUAUCAUAGGAGCAAUGGCCAAUGAUGGUCUUACAAUUGUCCUCAAUGGGUAAACACAAUGAUAAGGUCUUAAAGACAAAUGAGAUGAUUAUGUAUUAAUGAGCAAUUAAUGAUGAUGAUAAAUGCAUGAAGCAUACAAAGCAAGCAUGUGCAUAUGAAGCAAUCAAGCAAUCAAUGAAUAUCAAAUAGCACACUCUAUAGCCAAACAAGAGUCUCACACAAGAGGGUUAGGCACUGCAGGCCAACUGGAAUAGGGUAAAAGAUUUGCUCUAACCUUGCCAUUGAGAGGCUAAGGUGAAGCAGAUGGAAAGGAGAUGAGGGGUGUGCCUCAUUGCUCUUAUCCCUAAUCAGGGAGGCAUUUCAGAAAGUGUGGGAGUUCAGAAGUAGGAACUCUCUCCACAUUAUUGACUCGAUUGAUCUUGGGUUUUGAUCUCAAUGCUACAACCAUGUAAUGGGAGCAAGGAGAAGACUCACAGAAUAGUAGGGAUAGGUUGUUAUCCCUUGAUCUACCAUUGCCUUAUUUGAAGGACUUUUCCUGCCUGGGACAAAUAUAAACACACACAAGCAUUGCCUCUUAAGGAGGACUUCAGACAGUUUGCGCCGGCCUAAAUACAGGCCGGGUCUCCAGACUACAUGAAGAAAGAGGGAUUACUCAAAGCAAAUGCUAAAUAGCAAAGCAAAGCAAGUUCAAAGAACUAAGCAACUAAUGGUACCUGAAAUAGUCAAACAGAAUCAGUACACAGUUCAAAAGUCAAAGCCAAAAUGGAAUAGAAUUAACAGUCAACAUAAUCAGCAUGAAUGUGCAAAGCACAAGGCAACAAGGCUUAUGAGCCAAGCAACCUACAAAACAAAGAGGUUAGCACAUGAUAAACAAUCAAGCCAAACAAAUUGGAUUGUUCUCUUGAAGCAUUGUUGCUUUACCUGAAACAAUGAGCUCAAAUAUAAGCAACAAGACCACUAGGACAAGCCUAGGGUCAAAAUGAAAUGAGAAAGUCAAAACAGCAAGGGAGGUCAACCAAAACCAAGUUUAAACAAUCAAGAAGCAAACUCAAUUGGUCCCACAUGCAUAUCAUUCAUCAUCAUGAUUUUAUAGACAAAAGAGUCAAAACAUGGCAAAUGAAAGCUCAUAGAAGUCAACAGCAAGACUUGCAUCAAAAGUUCAACUCAAACAUUUUCAAAAAAUCACCAAAUAAUUCAUGAUCAAUCCUAACACUUAGCAUGGUAAGCGUGUAAAAUUUCAUCACAAUUGGACAAGUGGAAGGCAGUCAAUGAAAAUCAUGAAGUCAAAGCAAAUUUGAAUAUGCUCAAUGAAGUCAAACAAACAUGUAUCAACUUCAAAAAAUCAUAACUAAAUGAAAACAGAUGAGAAAUGAAUGGGAUCAACACCAAUGCAAAGCUCAAGAUGUCUAGUAUGCACAUGUAAAAUUUCAUGAUCAUCCAAUAAGGUAUGAGAUUUCACAAAGGAAAUGGCAACAUGUAUCAAACAAGUCAACAUUUGGUCAAACAGGGGAUAAAAUCUCAAACAAUUUGGAAAUGCCAUAAUUAAUUCCAGGAAAAUUCACACAUCAACUAGACAUAUAAGAGAAGGAUCAUGCAAAAUUUCACAUUAAUUGGAAGCAGGAAGCAUGUCAAAAAAAAUCAUGAACUUGCAUAUCAUUGGUGUGACACAAAUUGUCACACCCUACUUCAAAAAAUUCAUAUCUCACAAACCACAUAUGAUAAAUUCAAAACUCUACAUCAAAACAAACAUGAAUGAGUGUAGAUUAACCACAAAAAAUUUCAGGGCAUUGGAUACAUCAUCACAAUUCACAAAAGAAAUGGCAAAAGGUGUAAAUGUUGCUACAUGUCAAGAAACCUAAUACCAUUUAAAAUCCAGCCAACCAAAAAUUCAGCAAAAAUCAUGAUAAAAUAGUAGACAUUCAACAGGACAUGAUGCAAAAAAUUCCAUGAUUUUGGAGUUGAAAUGAAAAUGUUAUGAAUUUUGUAAGUUGAAGAAUGAAUUUGGAUAAGUAAAACAAAUGAACAUGGUUUGGAUAAGUCAACGGUUGACCAGUGGCAAUUUGUAAAUUCGGCACCACUAAUCAAAACGGUGCGCUUAGGCCAGGCACAUGAAUGUUCUCAUUGGUUGUCACCAAUGGAACAGUAACUCAAGCAGAACAACAGCCAUCCAUACACGAGUUCUGGGCAGCUUUAGGGUUUUUAAAGCAGCAAAUUCACUUUCAUGGUCAUCAUUAUGAGAAAAACGAAAUUCACCAGACUUCAUAAAUAUCAUGGCAAUGAAACAGUAAAUUCAUGCAACAUCAUUCCAAAGCAAAGACCAAAAAUGAUUUAAAGAAAAAUCUGGAAAAUAGUUCUUAGAGUUUCAACAGCCACAGCAUAACUUCAUCACUACCAAUCAAUCGUGAAAAUCAAAGUGCCCAGAACAUGAAAUUAAGCAUGGCAAUCAGCACAACAAACAUCCAGCAUCAUAAAUCCAGCAAGCAUUAACAUUAAACGAGCUAAUCAUCAAGAAUCUUGCAAAAUAAAAAUGACUAACAAACUUUAAACUCAGAUUUCUCCUAGCAUAGUCAACCAAUUCAAGUGAUACAAGUUGCAAUGGACUCAGCAAUGAAUAUUCUACCAUAAACAUAGCAUGAUUAGAGAGAAAAGGAGAAUCGAAAUCUUACUUGGAUUUGAAGAAACUUGAGAUGCAGUGGUUAUUUGGGUUGCUUCAAGCUCAAACAGGUGGAGAAUUAUAGUUGGAAAUGAUGAAUACUCGAGGAAGCUUAGCUCAGUGAUGCUUGGAAGAGUCCAAAUUUGAUUUGCCAUUGAAGAUGCCUUGAAGAAACAGAAUAUGAAAUGAUCUUCCAGCUGGGGUUUGUUGCCCUGAAAAGGCUCUCAAAUGUUGCUAGAUCAUGGAACAAACAAGAGAGCUCGUGGCCUUUUGAAAUCUUUGAGCAGAAAUUGCAAUUUUUCAAAAAAAUGCAAAAUGGAGAAUGAGAGUUUUCUGUGCGUUUUCAGGCUGCUGCUAGGGAUUGAAUCUCACAGAAAUGAAACUAUAAUGGACUGUUUAGCAUUAGUUAAUGAUAUGCUAAGCUUGGUUAACUCAAAUGAAGCCAAAAUGCCAAAUUGCUAAUUUUCAAUAUAUGCAUAUGGGGGUAUGGUCUGGCCGAGUUUGGGCCUUGUGCAAGCUUCAAAUGACAUCUUAAAUCAAUCCCAAAUGGUCAACUUGACAGGAAAUUACUUAAAUCAAAACCUCAAAUUUCACUUCACUGUGAAAUUCAACCAUGCUAGGUUCAAAAUGCCAUUUUUUGAUGGCAAUGUUUUGGCACAUGAAAUUUAUAUUUUUGGAAGAGGAGGUAAAAUGUGGUUUGUUAGGAAAAAACCCCACUAAAAUUGGCCUUGUGGUUCAUGAGAUAGGCUCUUUGAAGUUCAAAAUUUUGUGAAAAGGAAUUGAUCAUAUCUUGACAACCAUUACAUGGGAUUGAGAAGUUCUUGGACUUUUUGAAAUGGGAGAACAAGAUCUUCAACUUUCAUGUUGGGCAAAAAUUCAUUUGAAGCUUGUAUCAUGAUGUAGGUAGGAUCAAGAAGUUUCCAUUUUGGCAGUUAAAAUUACAGGUCCACUUCUAUUUUGGGAAUUUUCUGAUUACUUGAUUUUCUUCCAUGAUGGUAUUUGACAUGAUAUAUGAGGCUAAUAUAAGCAUGAAUAGAGACCUCUCAGACCAAAUCCCAUCACCAAAUCACUGAUUAAAUGGACAGUUGACAAGUUGACUUCAGUUGACUUUUUCUAGGGUUUUGCAUGAUUGAAGCAUUUCUGAUGAAUUCCAAACCUAAUCCUGAGAACUUGACUUCAAUGAUGUCCCAAGUUGUAUGAACUUUUGAUUAUUGAUCAUGGUGCCCAAAUUCUGCAAGAAUGGCCACCUAUCCACUGCUUUGGAACUGACUGUUGACUGUCUUUGACCUAAUUGCUGAUGAUUGCUUCAACUGCAAGCAACAAGGUUAGACUGGCAUAUUUUGUACUUUUGGUAGUAAACAUGAUGAAAGCAAAGAAUACAAUGCAAGACAUGCUGCGUGAUCAAGAAUCAACACUCACAAGGCCAAAACCCACUAGGAGGGAAGCUAGGGCAUGCAAUUGAUCCUUAGAGGCCAUGAUAUGAUAUGGUGGGCCAUGAGGGAUCUUAGGGCCCAAAAGUGGGUCUUACAGAUGCCCCUAUUUAAGGUCAUCUAGCCAGAGAAAUGAAGUUUAGAAAUCUUCAUCUCGACGCGGUAGAAUGGGCUUAAAUAACAGUUAAUGAGACAAAUUUUGGUCCUAAGAGACCUCAUGAUGCAAAUGUAUGGAUGCAAAAGACACAAAUUCUGUGUGGGAAUAUGAUUCACACAGAAGAAAGACGAUCCAUCGGAGUAGUACACUCACCAGGAACAGAGACUCUAACAAGACUCUAGUUGGGGGUAGACAACACUGACACAGCCGUGAACAAGACACGACUCUGAUUAGGAAAUACAGAAAACAGACUGGAGAACUCACUGGGAGUGAAGGACUCACACUGGAAAAGAAUUCCAAAGAAAAUAAAUCCAUUGGAAAGACACAAGCUGACUCGUGGGAGAAGCAACAGGAAAACUUCACUGAGGAAGCAACAAAGAAAUGAGAUGUUACCGGUAUAAGGGUAACAAACUCAGGAAAAUCUGACUCCACAGGGGACCGAGGUCAUAAUAGGGAGCAGAAAGGAGGGAACACCAAGGAUACCGGUUACUGGGUAUAUAAUAGGUGACCGACCGAAACGUGAAUUGGUUUUCACUUCCAAAACACUCAUCAUCCUGAAGAGAGCUAGAGAAUCAAACUUGUUUAUAGGAUGGAUGUUCGAUUCCACAAAGAAUACGAACCUUACUCGACUGGGGAGAUCAACAAAGGACUCCAACCAAAGAGCGCAUGAGACAUAUUAUUCAUACCGGCAGACCGUGAAUAAUAUACUCGAAAGGAAAAUUAUCCUGAACCGGUUACUGGGUUGUUUAUAGGAUAAGAUCCGAAAUCAUGAAUUGGUUUUCACUUCCAAACACUCAUCAUCCUGAAGAGAGCUAGAGAAGCAAACUUGUUUAUAGGAUGGAUGUUCGAUUCCACAAGGAUACGAACCUUACUCAAAUGGGACACAAACCCAAAGAGUGCAGAGAUUACAAUAUUCCAUUACCGGCAGACCGUGGAUAAGAAACUCGCAUGAGAUAUAUUAUCUAUUACCGUCAGAACGUAGAUAAUAAACUCGCAUGGUAAGAAACACCAGAGAUACCGGUUACUGGGUAUAUAAAAGGUGAUCUACCGAAAACGUGAAUUGGAUUUCACUUCCAAAACACUCAUCAUCCAAAACACAAACUGGUUAAAGGAUGGAUAUUCGAUUCUACAAAGAAUAUGAAUCUUGCUCAGCUAGGAAAAUCAACAAAGGAUUCCAACUAAAGAGCGCAUGAGACAUAUUAUUCAUUACCGGCAGACCGUGAAUAAUACACUCGCAUGGAAGAUUAUCCACAACCGGUUACUGGGUUAAUAAAGGAUAAAUCAACCGAAAAGAGAGGUAUCGGGAUACCAAACUAGGUAUAUAAUGAUGACCAAUCAAAAGGAGCAACAGACAUUACCAACAAAAGGGUAAAUGAAAGGCAAUCUGCUGAGGAUAAUUUGCAAGCAUCCGGCAAUUAUCUGCAGGGACUAGCUGGGGAUGUAUUGGUGUACAACCAAUGAUCCGGGGAACAAAUCACUAGCAAACGGUGAAAGGACGCGCUGGGGAUAAAAUUGCUAGCAUACGGCAAUUAUCCACAAAAGACUUGCUAGGGAUAUAAGUGCUGAUCUGAGCAACUUAUCCAAGCAAAAGGAAAAUCAACAUCAAAGACUAGAUGAAGAUAACCACUUGCUAGGGAUAUAAGUGCUGAUCUGAGCAACUUAUCCAAGCAAAAGGAAAAUCAACAUCAAAGACUAGAUGAAGAUAACCACAAAAUUAGGGUUUACAUCUACCGAAUACGGGGUAGAAGACCAACAACUCCACGUGGGGAUAGAACAAGUUACAAAUCCGCACGGGAAACCGAAAUAGGGUUUAUAACAAACCACAAACUGCUGAAGAGCAGGAAAAUAGGAUUUACAACUACCGGUAUGAGGUAGAAAACCAAAAUUCUGGCUGGAGAAUAAAAGGUGUAUAACCACAAAUUCUGUCAAGAAAGCCAGGAGAAAUAGGACUUAUAACUACCGGUUUGUGGGUAGAGGCCCAAAAAUAUUCCGCUGGGGAACAACCCACUGGGAAGCACAAGACAUCUGACAAAUAGCCAAUUCGGGAAUUAUCCGAAAAGACAGACUGAAUCAAGACACGUCCUAAUGAGGAUAUAACUCAAAUAGGAAAAUCCAUCCCAAUAUAUGUGUUGGGAGGAAACGGAAGAAACCGCCAUCCACGAGGAUAUAUCUCGGUGGGGAACUGCAGAAGGAAAGACAACAUUUUCUGCUUAUGGGGUUGACUCUAUAUGGAGAGAUUUAAAACACCCGACAUCUGCUUGGGGAGAUCUGUAAAGAGAUCUAUAUCACCAUAGCAGGAGACACGACAACAAAGGAUACAUGGCAAGAAAUGCAACAUGAAUAUCUGAAUGUUUUAUGAAUAUGCAUGAAUAUGCGUGAUUUAUGUUUGAUGAAUGCUGACAAAACAGACAAUUCUAACACAAACAGGUUCAGAAGCAAACGUCCGGUAUUAUACUUCCAGGGGAAAACCAACUGGAGAGCCAAUCUGCGGAGAUCCAUAUGCUGUAAAGCAAAGAUCUGCGGGUACUGCUGAAGAAGCAGAGAAUCAAAGAUAUCAGGAAAUAACCCAAUCAGGGUACAGAAAGUCACAACGGGCAAAGCAGCCACCAAGACGAAUCUGUAAGGGAACAAGAGAAAACCCAAGAUAUCUGCAGGGGGUCCCAGUGUUAACUGAGAAACAAAGGGUGCAUAUUGCACAAGCACGAACUGCUGUAGAAGCAAACUCCACAUAACUCCACUGGGGGACAACCCACUGAGGGAGAAUGAUAUCUUCCAAAUAGAAACUAACUGCAUAAACAACUCUACUGGGGAAAACUGUCAGCUAUUCUCUUGGGAACAAACCACUGAGGGAUGGCAGAUCAAACAAGUAGAUUCUGGAACGAACCACUCCACUUGAGGAGAAAAUACAUAGCAAACUGAUCACAACAAGUAGAUUCUGCAAUAUAACCACUCUACUGGGGAUCACAAACAGUCAGGAAAUCAAUCCGUUCGCUGGAGGCCAAAGCCAUCAUCCAACCAUUCUGGGGAUUGAAGGAGAAAUCAACAGGCGAAACUGCCACAACAAGCACUCUGCAGACUAUGCUGAGGAAAAGGUGGUUGAAAUACUGGGAUGUCAACCCAAAUCAACCACUGAAUAGGAAAAUAAAUCCUGCUCUGCUGAAGAGAAAAACUCUGAUGGAGAGAUAGCAACAAUUCCGCAGACGACUUCGCCGGGGAAAGGGUAAAGUACCGGGUAUCAAACCAUUGACUUACCAAACCUUCAGAAAGAAAGCGAUCAUGCUGAGGAAACAGACAAUUCUGCUGGCAACUGCACUGGGAAGAGUGUCGACAACUCUACUCGCAAAUCCAAUGGGGAUAUCUGUAACACCCCAAAUAUUGUUAGAGUAAUUUAAAUAUUAUUUAAUAUGAUUAUUGGAAGGUAAAAGGAAUUAUUAAAUAAUAUCGGGAAUUAUUAUUAUUAUUAUUAAUAUAGGUGUUAUUUAUUUUAAUAAUAAUUAAAUAAUAAAAUAAAUGGAAUAUGAAGAGUGGAAGGGUAAAAGUGGAAAUUUGAUAAGAGGCCAAAGGGAGAACUCAGAGUGUUUUCACGUAUUUUGCCUCAGAGUCAGAGACAGGGGAAACGCUGAAGAGGAAGAGAACGAAAGAGGGAAAAAAGGCCAAAGAUGCUCAGAACUUCCUUCAAUCCAACGAGGUAGGGGGUCCUGAACCUUAUUAAACAAUAAUUAUGCUGAAAUGGUGAAAUAUUGAUAACGAAAUGGGAUUUUAAUCGAGGAAUCGUAGAAAUUAUUGCAAUGAUGUUAGGAUUGUGACAAUCGAAUAGGGAACUGUUUGUAUAGAUAUUUGAGUGAUUUGUGUGAAUUUAGACUGUGGAGGAUGAAUGUGGAUAUAUCUCGUUAGCAGAGAAAGCCAUUGCAGAUCUGGAAAUCUGGUUUCUGGUCAUCGCGUAUGGACACUAGCAAUAGCGUAUGAGAUGGCUGGUACGCGUAUGGCACUAGGCAAACGCGUAUGAUGAGGAGAUGAUGUUUUGAACGUGUUUGGUCUCUGUUGGUACGCGUAUGGGAAUGUGAUACGCGUAGCAUACGCGUAUGGACAUGGGCAAUACGCGUAUGGAAUUGGUCAGGCGUGGCAAUACGCGUAGGGCAUAGGCAAUACGGUAUGGGCAGAAUUGUGGUCUUUCCUGGACUGUUGUGAGCAGUUUUUAUGUUUAGGCUGAGCGAGGUACUUAGCUGAUGCAUGGUAUAGAGGGAUCAUUCCGUUGCUUGAGUGGUAUAGAUAUUAGUAGAGUGUGAUAAUACUGUGUUGUAUUAUGUGGCAUGAUGUGAUAUGUUUUGUGAUAGAAUGUGUUAAUGAUGAUGAUAAAUGACUAUAUGAUGCUGUUGUUGCUAUGUUGAUUAUGAUGCAUGCUUGUGUGAUUGCAUUCAUGAAAGGCGAUGCCUAGUGAUGAACGGACUGAUUCCAAUGAUGUUGUUGACCUCCGGCUGUUAAGAGGCUGGUUCCUGCGGGACAUCGGAUUCUAUGGUGAUGAUCUGGAGUGGUGAUCCUGUAGUUGGUCCAAAAAUGGGUAUACGAGUCGUGUUGAGUCAUGCAUGGGUGGCUGCAUUGAUUUAUAUUUAUACUCAUAGAUUAGAUUAUGAAUGAUUAUGAUGAUUAUGAUGAGCUGUAUCUGAAAUAUAAUUUUUUUAUAUUCUGUCGUUAUAUUAUUAUUUAAUAAUGUAAUUCUCCCCUUCUGCAGUGUGUUAUGUUCAUCUAUGAUGAGCAAUGUGCAGAUAAAGAGGAGUAGCUAUUGUUGAGGUUGAAGAAUAAGAUUAUUCUACAGGGUCGAGUCAAAUGCCUGGUAUGUGACACGGGUUAUGGGAUGAUAGAUAAUGAUUAUUAUUUAAGUUGUUUAUGAUGAUAACAUGUUGAGCUUUGUUGAGAUAAUGUUGAACCUUAUAUGAAUUGUUAAUGAUGAAUGAUAAUAUUAAUAUUGUGUCCGCUGCGAAGUUUAAUAAAAUAAAUAAUAUAUGUUUAAUGUUGUAAUGCGAUAAUAUGUUAUUAAAGAAAUGUAAACUCUUCUACAUGUUGAACUCUGAUAAUCUAUUUAAAUAUGUCGUUGGGUAGAAGGGUGUACAUUAUGGUAUCAGGCAUGGUACAGUUCCAGUCGAGUCAUAAUGUGAGUUUUCCUGAGAUCGAUUAGUGUAAAGUGAACUACGUUCGAUAUUAACGGUUGUGGUGGUUGUGCAGAGUAUGGCUGGAGAAAAUGACGUUGGCGAUGCUGAGGCUUUGGCUGCUAUGGGCGCAGAGCUAGAGCAGCAAUCCGCCGGUCGAGAGUUUAAGAAUUUGGGAAGGUUUCUGAAGAAUAACCCUCCUACAUUCAGGGGCGCUAUGAUCCAGAUGGUGCUCAGAAUUGUGGCUGAAGGAAAUUGAGAAGAUUUCCGGUGAUGACGUGUAACUGAGAGCCAAAGAAGGUGCAUCUUGGUACGCAUAUGUCUGAAGAGGCUGAAACUGGUGAUACACUCGACAGAGGAUUGAAGUACAGUUGAGAUGACUUGGGAAAGGUUCAAGACGGCUUUCUGGAGAAUAUUUCCUGCUGAUGUGCGAUUGUAAGAAGGAGAUGGAAUUUCUGGACUGAAGCAGGUAACAUGUCUGUUGCUGAUUACGCUUAUCAAGUUGAGGAGCUGGUACGGUAUUGUCCUCAUAUAAAGCAUGCUGAGGAAUCCAAGUGUGUCAAGUUUGAGAACGGGUUGCGUCCGAGAUCAAACAGGCAUUGGUUACCAGGAGAUUCGUAGGUUUCCUACGCUGGUUAUAGUGCAGGAUAUUUGAUGAAGAUAGCAAGGCUAGGACUGCUCAUUACAAAGAGUCUUAGUGAGAAGAAGAAUAGGAUCGUGGGUAUUAAUGGUAAUAAGGUAAGCAGAAAGUGGUAGAUGAGAAGAGCCAAGUGGAGGAGGAUCUCCAUAGCUGGUAAAUGUUUAAUGUGGCGAGCGGCCACCGUGGAUAGCUGUACCAAGAAAGUGCGAGAUGUUUCCGAUGCGGUCAGGCUGGUCAUAGAGUUACGGAUGUAAGGACUGGUCCGACAUGUUUUAAUUGUGGCAGAAAGGCCAUUCAGUUUGCGAGUGGCUCGAACCGAAGAAGGGGCUACUGCAGCUCAUACUACUGUGGGUGGUUUGCUCUGAGUGGGGCUGAAGCUCCUAAAGAAGAUAAUCUGAUUAUAUAGCUUGUUGAUAAAUAAUGUUGAAUUGCUUGCUAUUGUUGAACUGGUGCUACUCAUUCGUUUAUUUUGUAUGAGUGUGCGACAGGAUUGUGUGAUUAUGUGUCCUAGGGGAAGUAGGUGAUAGAACUCCUGCUAAUGGUCUGUAAGACUUCUGUUGUCUGUCGAGGUUGUCGUUUGACGACUUGAGAGAGAGUUCGUAGUUGAUUUGGUGUGCUUACCUUGCACCAUUGAUAUUAUUUGGAAUGAAUUGCUAGAAUUUAUGUAUCAACUGGCUAUAGUAAGACGCGUGCGGUUUUCUGAAGUUGGUGAGAAUGAUGAGCAUAUUUCUAUCUGCUAGGCAGGUGGGGGGAAUUUGUUGAAAGAUGGAGCUAGAUAUUCGCUUUAUUUGCGCUCUCUGCACGGAUAAGAAGUGUGAGUGUAGAUUUGCUGUUGUCUGUGAUUUUCAGUGAUGUGUUGAGAGUAAGUGAACCUCCAGAACGUGAAGUCGAAUUGCAUUGACUUAGUACCAGGUACGAGUCCAGUGUCCGAUGUCUCCUUAUAGAAUGUCGGCAAUGAUUAGUUGAUUGAAGAAGCAACUUGAAGAUUGCUUGAGAAGAAGUUUGUGCGUCAAGUGUUUCUCUUGGUGCACCAGUAUUUGUUAGUGAAGAAGAAAGAAGGUACGAUGAGGUUGUGUGUCGAUUACGCGCAGUUGAAAUAAGGGACUAUCAAGAAAUCGGUAGCCAUGCCGAGGAUUGAUGAUUUGAUGGACCAGUUGGUUGGAGCUCAGUGUUUUCAGUAAGAUUGAUUUGGCGGUCGGGUUAUCAUCAGAUCGAGUGAAGUCAGAUGAUAUUGCGAACACUGCUUUCCGUACGAGGUAUGGUCAUUAUGAUACACUGUGAUGCCGUUCGGUGUGUCAAUGCUCCGGUGGUUUAUGGAAUAUAUGAAGUAUAUUUCAAUCGUACUUGAUAAUUUUUGUGGUGUUCAAGAUGAUAUAUUGAUAUAUUUAAGACGGAAGAAGAGCAUGCAGGACAUCUGAGAAUUGUCUUUGGCAGGUGUUAGAGAAAAGAAUUAUGCAAAGUAUCUAAAUGUGAAGUUUGGUUGAAGAAGUGAGUUCCUUGGCCAUGUGAUUUCGAGUGGUGGGAUUCUCUGUUGAUGCGUGCUAAAGUUGAUGCUGUAUUACAGUGGGAGACUCCGAAGUCUGCUACUGAGAUACGGGCACUUUCUGGGGUUAGUGUUUUUAUCGCAGAUUUAUUGAAGCUUCUCUAAGUUGGCAUUGCGUUGACGCAGUUGACUAAGAAGGAGUAAUGUGUGGGAUGCCGUUGUGAGACGAGUUUUGUCGAGUUAAGAGGCGGUUGACCAGUGCUCCAGUGUUGAUCUUGCCUAAUCCUGGUGAGUCCUUCGUUUAUACUUUUGAUGGGUCUUGGUGGUGUUUUGAUGGCAGAUGGUAAAGUUGUAGCUUAUGCUUCUAGACAGUUGAAAGUUCAUGAGAGGAAUUAUCCUACGCAUGAUCAGAACUUGCAUAUUGUGAUUUGUGUUGAAAAUGUGGAGACAUUAUCUGUAUGGUUCCAGGUUCGAAGUGUUCAGGAUCACAAGAGUCUGAAGUAUCUGUUUGAUCAAGAAGAGUUAAAUAUGAGGCGAGAAGGUGGUAGAAUUACUGAGGAUUUUGACUUUGAAUUGAGUCAUCAUCCCCGGUAGCUAAUGUAUUGACCGAUGCGCUGAGUAGAAAAGUCUCUACAUAUGUCUAUGAUGAUGGUUCGAGAGCUUUGAGUUAAUUGAACAGUUCCGUGAUAUGAGUUUGGGUUGUGAAGUUUCCGCUGAUAGUGUAAAGUUGGGUAGCUGAAUGUGACUAGUGGAUAUCUGGAAGAUAUACGGAAUGGUCAGCAAGUUGAUGUCGCUCUAGUUGAUCAUAUUACUAUGGUUAACCAGGGAAUGGUGGUAAUUUUUAGAUUGAUGAGACUGGUAUCCUGCGAUUAAAGUAGAGUUGUUGUUCCAGAGGUGUCUGAAUUGAAAAGAGUAUUCUUGAAGAGGGUCAUAGGAGUGGAUUGAGUAUCCAUCCAGGUGCAACUAAAAUGUAUCAAGAUUUGAAGAAGUUGUUUUGGUGGGCUAGUAUGAAAAGAGAUGGUUGCUAAGUUUGUGUAUGCCUGUUUGACUUGUCAGAAGUCAAGAUUGAACAUCAGAACACCGGCAGUAUGAUGCAACCUUUGCAAGAUUCUGAAUGGAAGUGGGAUAGCAUUUCUGGAUUGUUGUGACGCGAUUGCCGAGGACGGACGAAAGGUAAUGAUUCUAUUAGGUAUUGUGGAUCGUUGGACUUAAGUCGUGCGCAUUUCUUGCCGAUGAAGAAUCUAAUCCUCUUAGAGAAGUUGCAGAGUUGUAUAUGAGGAGAUAGUGAGGCUGCUGGUAUUCAUCCAUCAAGAUUGUUUGAUAGAGAUCCAGAUUACUUCUAGAGUUUUGGGAGUAAAUUUGCGAAAGCGUUGGAGCCAAAUUGAGGUUGAGUUCAGCUAUAUCCUAAUAUGGGUCAGACCGAAAGAACUAUCCAAUCUUGAGGAAUUUGUUGAGAGUUGUGUGUGGAGGCAAAGUGGUUCUUGGAUAGUUAUUGCCGUUGGUGGAGUUUACUUAUAAUAAUAGUUUCAUGCUAGUAUCGGCAUGGUCAUAAAGCAUUGUAGGUAGGUAGGUGUAGAACCCCAUUUGUUUUUGGGUAUGAAACUCAGGUGAGAGUUGUGUAGCUUAGACCUGAGAUUGUGCAGCAGACGACUGAGGUUAAGAUGAUUCAGGAGAAAAUGACCUUCUCAGAGCGUCAACGAGAUUAUACAAUAACAGGAGAAAGGCACUUGAGUUCGCAAGAGGGAGAAGCAUGGUGGUUCUUAAAGAGUGCGCUGUUCGACGACAGGUGUGGGUAGAGGCUUUAAAUAGUCUAAAAGCUACUCGAGUUUGUGGUCGUAAUAGAUUUUGAAGAGGGUUGGGGAAGCGGCGUAUUCGGAUAGUUUACCUGCGUCGCUUUCUAAUCUGCAUGAUGUGUGUCAUGUAUUCUCAGUUGAGAAAUAUAUUGCGUGAUCCUUCGCAUGGUUGUUCAGUUUGGAUGCAUAUCCAGGUGAGGGAUAAUUGACGCGUGAGUUGCUUAAUUCGGAUAUGACCGAGGAAGGAAGACCCGAGACGGUAAUAGAAGAUGCGUGCUAGUGAAAGUUGUUUGGGAGGUCAGGCUGGAAAGUGUGACCUGUGGGAGCGGGAAGAUCAGAUGAAGGAGUGUCAUACCGGCUCUAUUUGCUUGAUGGUAUGUUUUCGAGAUACGAAACUUUCUAAAGUGGGGAUGAGUUGUAACACCCCAAAUAUUGUUAGAGUAAUUUAAAUAUUAUUUAAUAUGAUUAUUGAAGGUAAAAGGAAUUAUUAAAUAAUAUCGGGAAUUAUUAUUAUUAUUAUUAUAUAGUGUUAUUUAUUUUAAUAAUAAUUAAAUAAUAAAAUAAAUGAAAUAAUAAGGUGAAGAGUGGAAGGGUAAAAGUGGAAAUUUGAUAAGAGGCCAAAGGAGAACUCAGAGUGUUUUCACGUAUUUUGCCUCAGAGUCAGAGAAAGGGGAAACGCUGAAGAGGAAGAGAAGAAAGAGGAAAAAAGGCAAAGAUUGCUCAGAACUUCCUUCAAUCCAAAGAGGUAAGGGGUCUGAACCUUAUUAAACAAUAAUAUGCUGAAAAUGGUGAAAUAUUGGAUGAACGAAAUUGGGAUUUAAUCGAAGGAAUUCGUAGAAAUUAUAUGCAAUGAUGUUGGAUUUUUGGAAAUCGAAUAGGGAACUGUUUGUAUUAGAUGAUUGAGUGAUUUUGUGUGAAAUUUAGACUGUGGAAGGAUGAAUGUGGAUAUACUCGUAGCAGAGAAAGCCAUUGCAGAUCUGGAAAUCUGGUUUCUGGUCAUACGCGUAUGGCACUAGGCAAUACGCGUAUGAGCAUGGCUGGUGACCGCAGUAUGGGCACAGCAGGCAAUACGCGUAUGGAUGAGGAAGAUGAUGUUUGUGAACGUGUUUGUCUCUGUGUGUACGCGUAAUGCGGAAGUGAUACGGCGUAGCAACCGUAUCGGGAUGGGCAAUACGCGUAUGUGAACUGGUCCAUGGCGUGCGGCAUAUACGCGUAUGGGGCAUAGGCAAUACGCCGCUGCCGGAAUUGGUUGCUAUGUGAGCAUUUAUGUAGGUGAGCGAUUUUCCCGAUACAUCCAGGAUAUCUGAGACUGUAUUUGGUUCGUAUCAGGGGCAACCUGUGAUUUUCAUAGUAGUUGGCAGUGGAUUACAUGGGUCCCCACACCCAGGGCAGAGAUGAAUACUUAGCUGGAAUGCAUGUAUACGAGGCGAUCAUUUCCCGUUCUUGAGUGGGUAUAGAUGAUUGGUAGAAGCUGCUGAUAAAUACUGUGUUGAUUACUGGGCAUGAUGUAUGAUAUGCUUUUUGUGAUAGACAUGUUCGUUAAUUGAUGAUGUAUACAUGACUUAUGAUGCCUGGUUGUUGCUAAUGUUGAUUAUGAUGCAUGCUUGGUGUUGCAUUGCAUCUGCAUGACGAAGCCGAUGCUAGUGGUGAACGACCUGAGUUCCAAGAUGUUGGUUGACCGGGCUUGUUGAGAGGCUUGGUCCUUGGCGGGGAACUUCGGAUUCUAUGGUGAUGAAUCUGGGAGUGGUGAUCUGUAGCUUGUCACAAAAUGGGUAUGACGAAUCGUGUUGAGUCAACUGCAUGGGUGUGUGAUUGCAUUUGAAAUAUGUUGUUUUGUGAUGUUCUGAAUAUGUUGAUAUGAUGAGCUGUGUUAGCAUCUGUGAAAUAUAUUUAGUGUUUAUCAUUUCUUCGUUAUAUAUUAUUUAAUAAUGUAAUUCUCACCCGCUUCUGCAUGUUUUAUGUUCAUCUAUGAUGAGCCAUGUGCAGAUAAAUGAGAGUUAGCUAUUUGUUGAGGUUUGAGGAAUAGUGUAGAGUUAUUCUAACAGGGUCGAGGUCAAAUGCGUGGUCAUGUGACACGGGGUAUGGGAUUUCGAUAGAUUAAUUGAUUAUUAUUUAGUUGGUUUAUGAAUAGACUAACAUAGUUGAGAUGUUUUGUUGGAGAUACAUGUUGAACCAUUAUUAUGAAUUGUUAUAUGAUGAAUGAAUAAUAUUAAUAUUGUUGUCCGCUGCGAAUUUUAAUAAAUAAAAAUAAUAUGUUUUUUUAUGUUGUGAUGCGAUAAAUUGUUAUGUAUAAGAAAUUAAUACUGCUCUACAUGUUGAACUCUGAUAAUCUAUUUAAAUAUGUCGUUUGGGUAGAUAGGGUGUUAGCAAUAUGCCAAUACAGCGUCUACUCAUCUGUGCUGCGAAACAAUAAAGUCUGGGGCCUGUCGACACCACUGGAGAAAAGGACGGGCCACCAAGAAUACAAAACGCAUCAACGCCGAAACUUCACAAGAAAACACCAUGCUGGAAACUGCUGCUGGAGAAAACAAGUCUUCAACAACACUCUGCUUGUGACUAUACUGGGAACAACGCCAACAACAACUCUGUUUGAGGAUAAAAAAACAACCCAACAAAGAUCUAAGAAAAGAUCAUACCAAACCAGCGCAUAGUAACAAAUGUCUUAACACUGUGGAAUCAUGCACCCUCGGAGAGCACCUGAGAUAUUCUUGAGUAUGCCUUUCAAUCUUGUGAAUGUUCACUUUUUCUAAACAAAUAAUUGAACCAAUUUAUUUGUUUAAACAAUGAUAAUUUUAUCAUUAAACAUGCAAAAACAUUCGUUGAAUUGACACAAAUAGAGUGCAAAUAAUUGAUAAAAACUCAAUUGAUUUGAUGGAAUGGAGCCCUUGCAAAUGGCAAGAACUCCAUCAGAUCUGUACAAAUUUGAAAAUCAGUGAUAUAUAUGAAGAGGGCCUCUACAUGAACAUAAUGAUCCUUCUCUUACGCAAUUGAAUCUUGUGUAUCCGAGCUUCAGUUGGAACGACGAAGUUCGACGAAUCUUCUGACGAAAUGACGACUGGUGCACGGCAGAAAGUCUUGUUCAGGAUGCAGUUUACUUGCCAAAUCCCUAAUUUUUGCCUAGAUUGGCCCAGGGUGAGGAUACUCAAUCUAGCGGGAUGCAAAUAUUUCCUUUUUUUCAGUCUCUAAAUUUUUGCCUGGAUACUUUGCGGGUUCUCACGCGAGACGCGCAUCUUUUGCGCUAAGCGCCCUUUCGGUUUCACUUAUGCGAGCUAUUCUGUUUUUUUUUUUUUCUUUGCACAUAUACUUUUUUUUAGGGCAAAGUAUUCUCUUGACUGCAUCUGAAUUUCACAGGACGAGUGAAAUCCUCCCCAUUCAUUGUUGUAAGCAUCAAAGCACGCCUGAAAAAGGCUCUCUUAACAACAUUGCGACCCGCUCGACGUUUGGAGUCCCCAACUUCCCGCUUGGAAUCGGCGCGAAAGACAAAACUUCUUGAGCAGCAAGGUCACCUUCUCGGAACACACGAGGCUUGACCUCUUAUCGAAUGCUUCUUCAUUCUCUGCUGAUAUAGCUGACCAUGGCAUCAUGGCAAGUUAAACGCUUCUCUCGAUCAAAUUCAGUUGGUCGUAAGACUCCUGAUCCCAUUCAGCAUCAGUCAACUAGGGACCUGAGGUAUACUUUUUUCUUUUUCUUAUUGAAAAAAUAUUUGGAAAUUUUUUCCUGAUUUUUGAUUUUUCAUUUCUUUUGCACCCCUCUGCUUUUUUUUUUUUUUUUUUUUAAUUUGCAUUUGCAAUGCCCAAGUUUUCGACUGUUCUUUGCUGCACUUCUCAUGAUACAGAGCUGAAUGAGCUCCUUUGUGGCUCAGAAGGCGGUAAUUCUCAUCAGGAAUCCGCCCUUCCAACAUCAUCUUCGCUCUGCUUCAGAAUACAGGGAAUGUCAAAAUUGGGAGAUGACGUUGGAUGCAUUAUGUCAAUGGGUUUAGACAAAUCCCUGCAUAAUGAUUUCUGAUAAUGAAAAGCUUGGAUUUUAAACAGCAAAUCAUUUUAUGCAAGAUGAAAAUAUGUUGUUUCUACUGUUUUUCAUGGUUUUUUGUGAUCCCCUGAUUUCAUCGCAGAAGCAAAAAGUCGAAAACAUAAUGGAAAAAACAAAUGUUUGACAAUGCAUUAAUUGAAUGAAAACAUCAUCUGCUAUUAAAUGCUGCGCAACAAUGUUUCAUCCACCUUCUGCCUUUGGCAUCGAGGAGAAGGGUUUUAAACAAGGUGAACAAAUCACGCUGACCUUAGUGAAUGACCGUCAGGAACACAUCCACAGCGACGCCAAUUGUGGCAGACACCACGCAGGAAUGAGAAAUUGUUCACGUCCUCUUGCAUCCUCUCAAGAUAGCAGCAACUUCUUCUUGCAGGUUGAUCAUACACUGGAUACACCUCCACUUGUGACAAACCUUGCUCAUGUACAUGCCCAGAACAUAGCCCAAUGCCAGCCCGGGAUCGUUAACCAGGAAUAAUCAUCAACCAGGAAUAAAUCCACAAAGCAUUUAGGCUGGCAAAUUCCUCCCCUGAGUUCACAAACUCUCUUGCUCAAGAUGAUCCAUCAUCUGGUUUGAGAAUGACUCUGGUAUAAUACCGGCAAAGUGCGUCUUCAAAAUAAAUGAGAUUGGCAGGUCAGACGCACAGGACCGGGAGACCGAACAAAACCACCUGUUUAUGCAAAUGAUCAUGAGUGAUAUGCAUAUGCUUGUUUUUUUAUUUACAAAGCAACUCAGGUUUUAUUUGCAAACUUUGAAAUUUAAAGCAUUUAUCGUAUAUGAGAAUACUCAUCAGAUAUAUCAAAGUUUGAAAUUUUUGGGCAAAUAACUCCUUUGAGUCCCUUGAAAAUUUUCUUUUCUGAUGAUAUGAUGCGAUGAAUGCGUGAAUGCUAUGAACUGCAACAAUCACACUCAAAGAUAAGCAAGACACACGAACCAGAGGUCGUGGAAAGCUCAAAACGUAUCCCUAAUUCAAAUCCCUCCAUUUUGGUGGCCUUUAGGUUUUCCCUAUCGACACCCAAAGUUUCCAUUGAUAUUAACGGUACGCUGAACGGCUCUAACAUGCCUUAAUAUCAACCAGGCCGCUUUGAGUUGGAUUUUAAGGUUUACACUGAUCGCGGAUCCCUUGAUGAUUCAACGAUGUUUGAACGACUCAACCACGAUAUCAACGGUUUGCUGAGAAGUCACGAGCAUCGGGAGUUUCUCGGUUCAGAACCACCCAAAUGGGAGUGUACUAGGGUUUAAAACCUGCCAACAUGUUCUAUCAGAGGUUCUCAUAGUCAUCGUUCCAUCUCUAGAAUAUUAUCGAGAACGAAUACUCGUAUUCCAUAGAAUAUUCUCAAGAGAACUCCUUAUGAGUGUAGUAUCGCGUACACAUCGCAUCAGAACUUACAUCUGAACGACCUCCGGCACUACGGUCGCUAAAAUAGGCCAAGAUGGGUUUGUUAAACUAAGGUCCUUGGCUUCUGCGGAAACAUGAUUGAAAGAAUAAUACCUACCACAAUAACCUCUGUGUGACAUUAUUAAUAUCAACAGACCCCACCAAAGUGAAUGGAGCUCGCAAGUCAACUGGCUAAGGAAUACUCCACACCAGUCAACAAGACUAUGCAUUCUCCUAUCUAGAGUGCACUCGAGUUCCGGGACAGAACUCCAUUCUCACAGAUCAGCAAAGCAAACAGCCAUUGUAUACUCAGCAAUUCCAAACAUUCAUCAAUACAGUAUCCCAUUGUACAGAAAAUCAUGUCACAUAACAUAAUAAUAUAGCACAACAAUGGUGAAAAGUAAGGCGUACCACCCAGAGAUUCUGGUGAAGCCCAGCAGAGUCCGCCACUUUUCUGUAGCGUGUAUUCGUCGCCAUAUGAUUUAUCGAUUAAUCAUAAGCAAGNNNNNNNNNNNNNNNNNNNNNNNNNNNNNNNNNNNNNNNNNNNNNNNNNNNNNNNNNNNNNNNNNNNNNNNNNNNNNNNNNNNNNNNNNNNNNNNNNNNNNNNNNNNNNNNNNNNNNNNNNNNNNNNNNNNNNNNNNNNNNNNNNNNNNNNNNNNNNNNNNNNNNNNNNNNNNNNNNNNNNNNNNNNNNNNNNNNNNNNNNNNNNNNNNNNNNNNNNNNNNNNNNNNNNNNNNNNNNNNNNNNNNNNNNNNNNNNNNNNNNNNNNNNNNNNNNNNNNNNNNNNNNNNNNNNNNNNNNNNNNNNNNNNNNNNNNNNNNNNNNNNNNNNNNNNNNNNNNNNNNNNNNNNNNNNNNNNNNNNNNNNNNNNNNNNNNNNNNNNNNNNNNNNNNNNNNNNNNNNNNNNNNNNNNNNNNNNNNNNNCUUACAAUUGUCCUCAAUGGGCAAACAGCAAUGACAAUAUCACAAAGACAAAUGAGAUGAUUGUGCAUUAAUGAGCAAUUAAUGAUGAUGAUAAAUGCAUGAAGCAUACAAGCAAACAUGUGCAUAUGAAGUAAUCAAUCAAUCAAUCAAUAUCAAACAGCACACUCUAUAGCCAAACAAGGAGGCUCACACAAGAGGGUUAGGCACUGAGGCCAACUGGAAUAGGGUAAAAAGUUGCUCUUAACCUUGCCAUUGAGAGGCUAAGGUGAAGCAGAUGAAAGGAGAUGAGGGGUGUGCCUCAUUGCUCUUAUCCCUAAUCAGGGAGAGCAUUUCAGAAAGUGUGGGAGUUCAGAAAGUAGGAACUCUCUCCACAUUAUUGACUCGAUUGAUCUUGGGUUUUGAUCUCAAUGCUACAACCAUGUAAUGGGAGCAAGGAGAAGACUCACAGAAUAGUAGGGGAUAGGUUGCUUAUCCCUUUGAUCUACCAAUUGCCUUAUUUGAAGGACUUUUCCUGCCUGGGACAAAUAUAAACACACACAAGCAUUGCCUCUUAAGGAGGACUUCAGACAGUUUGCCCGGCCAAAUAACAGGCCGGGUCUCCAGACUACAUGAAGAAAGAGGGAUUACCUCAAAGCAAAUUGCUAAAUAGCAAAGCAAAGCAAGUUCAAAGAACUAAGCAACUAAUGGUACCUGAAAUAGUCAAACAGAAUCAGUACACAGUUCAAAAGUCAAAGCAAAAUGAGAAUAGAAUUAACAGUCAACAUAAUCAGAUGAAUGUGCAAAGCACAAGGCACAAGGCUUAUGAGCCAAGCAACCUACAAAACAAAGAGGUUAGCACAUGAUAAACAAUCAAGCUCAAACAAAUUGGAUUGUUCUCUUUGAAGCAUUGUUGCUUAACCUGAAACAAUGAGCUCAAAUAUAAGCAACAAGACCACUAGGACAAGCCUAGGGUCAAAAUGAAAUGAGAAAGUCAAAACAGCAAGGGAUGGUCAACCAAAACCAAGUUUAAACAAUCAAGAAGCAAACUCAAUUGGUCCCACAUGCAUAUCAUUCAUCAUCAUGAUUUUAUAGACAAAAGAAGUCAAAACAUGGCAAAUGAAAGCUCAUAGAAGUCAACAGCAAGACUUGCAUCAAAAGUCAACUCAAACAUUUUCAAAAAUCACCAAAUAAUUCAUGAUCAAUCCUAACACUUAGCAUGGUAAGCGUGUAAAAUUUCAUCACAAUUGGACAAGUGGAAGGCAGUCAAUGAAAAUCAUGAAGUCAAAGCAAAUUUGAAUAUGCUCAAUGAAGUCAAACAAACAUGUAUCAACUUCAAAAAAUCAUAACUAAAUGAGGAAUACAAAUGCCAACUUGCAGGGACUUACAGUUGUAUCCUCACAUACAAACAAACAAAGCAACAUGUGAUCAUAGGAAAGCAAAUGCCAACUUACAGGGACUUACAAUUGCAACCUCACAUAUAAUCAAAUGCAUCAAGCAAAGAUAAGAUGAGUGGCCAAUGAAAUGGUCUUAUACUCACUUCCAUAUCAUAGGAGCAAUGGCCAAUGGAUGGUCUUACAAUUGUCCUCAAUGGGUAAACAACAAUGAUAAGGUCUUAAAGACAAAUGAGAUGAUUAUGUAUUAAUGAGCAAUUAAUGAUGAUGAUAAAUGCAUGAAGCAUACAAGCAAGCAUGUGCAUAUGAAGCAAUCAAGCAAUCAAUGAAUAUCAAAUAGCACACUCUAUAGCCAAACAAGGAGUCUCACACAAGAGGGUUAGGCACUGAGGCCAACUGGAAUAGGGUAAAAGAUUUGCUCUUAACCUUGCCAUUGAGAGGCUAAGGUGAAGCAGAUGAAAGGAGAUGAGGGGUGUGCCUCAUUGCUCUUAUCCCUGAUCAGGGAGAGCAUUUNNNNNNNNNNNNNNNNNNNNNGACAAGAAUGUGUGGGUUCAGAAAGUGGGAACCCUUCUACACAUUUAAAACUGACUCAACUGUACAAUUGUACAAGAUCUUGGGUUUGUAUCUGCAAUGCAUCAACACAGUGGUGUGAGCAAAGCAGAUGACACACAGAAUAGCAGGGGAUAGGUUGCAUAUCCCUUGGGUUCUGCCAAUUGCCUCUUCACUUAGGAGGUCUUUGACUAUGUACAAGGACAAAUUAAACAUACACAAGCAUUGCCUCUUAAGGAGGACUUCAGACAGUUGCCUGGCCAAGUAACAGGCCAGGUCUUCCAGACUACAUGAAGAAAAGGAAUUAUACCUCAAGCAAGUUGCUAUAAAGCAAAGCAACGCAAGUUCAAAGAACUAAGCAACUAAUGGUACCUGAAAUAGUCAAACAGAAUCAGUACACAGUUCAAAAGUCAAAGCAAAAUGAGAAUAGAAUUAACAGUCAACAUAAUCAGAUGAAUGUGCAGAGCACAAGACUCAAAUCAUAUGAGUCAAGCCACCUACAAAACAAAGAGGUUAGCACAUGAUAAACAACCAAGCUUAAUCACAUUAGAUUGUUCUCUUUGAAGCAUUUGUGCUUAACCUGAAACAAUGAGCUCAAACAUAAGCAACAGGACCACUAGGGCAAGCCUAGGGUCAAAAUGAGAUGAGAAAGUCAAAACAGCAAGGGAUAGUCAACCAAAAUCAAGUUCAAACAUUUAAGAAGCAAACUCAAUUGGUCCCACAUUCAUAUCAUUCAUCAUCAUGAUUUCAUAAGCAAAAGAAGUCAAAGCAUGGCAAAUGAAAGCUCAUAGAAGUCAACAGCAAGACUUAGCUCAAAACCAAUCAUAAACAAUUCCAAAAAUCAGCAAAUAAAUCAUGAUCAAUCACAAUCCAUAACAUGACAUGCAUAUGAAAUUUCAUCUCAUUUGGACAAGUGGAAGGCAGUCAAUGAAAAUCAGAAAGUCAAAGCAAUUUUGGACAUGCUCAAAGAAGUCAACCAAACAUGCAUCAACUUGAAAAAUUUAUAAAUCAGGGAUGGCAUAUGAUAAAUGAAUGGGACUAAAACCAUGGCAAAGCUUAGGAUGUCUAGUUAUCUCAUGUAAAAUUUCAUGUCCAUCUAAUAAAGUAUGAGAAUUUCACAAAACAAAUGGGCACAUGCAUCACAUAAGGUCAACAUUUUGGUCAAACAGGGGAGAAAAUCUCAAACAAAUGGAAAAUGCCAUGAACAAUUCCACAAAAAAUCACAUACAAACUAGACAUAUAAGAGUAGGUUCAUGCAAAAAAUCAAUCCAUUUGGAGGUCAAUAGACAUGGCUAUAAAAAUCAACAAGUUGCACAUCAAUGGUGUGACACAAAUUGUCACACCUUACUUCAAAAAUUCACAACUCACAAUCCAGAAAUGAGAAAUUCACAAACUCUACAUCAAAAUAAACAUGAAUGUGUCUAGUUUGUGCUCAAAAAGUUUCAAGUCCAUAGGAUAAGUCAUGACCAUUUCACAAAGGGUUUGGCAAAAGGUACAAAAUAUUGUCACAUGUUACAAACCCUAUCACCAUUUAAAAACCACUCAUCCAAAAAUUCUGGAAAAAAAUAUGAUUAAAAACUAGAGGUUGUGAUGAACAUUUAGCAAAAAAUCUCAUGAAUUUUGGAUAAUUAUUGAAGGCUCUAUGAUUUUUCAAAGUCGUGUGACAAAAAUGAAAUAAAAAUUUUGAAAUGAAAUGAAUUAAGAGAAUUAAAAGGAAACGGUGGCAGAAUUGUAAUUAAAUGAAGAAGCUGGGGGCCAAAACGAAAUCGCUCCACUUACUGAUGUGGCGACCACUUAAAUGGUCUCAUCCCGCGUGGCAUGGUCAACGGACGCAGGGCCAAUGGAAUGGCCACUGGGCGUCCACGUAGGCUCAACAGUGACCGAGCCCUAGCACAGUGGCUCUGGUUCGCAGACGCCGGCCGGUGCGGCUGAAACAACCGUCUCCUUCGUGGAGACGGCGGAGCAACAGUGCUCCUCUUCCAAAAUUUCCCAGAAUCCUAAACUAAAUAUACCAAACGAAAGGUUUUCGAUCCUAGGUUCCGAAUCCAAGGCCCAAUCACUCUAAUUCAUCACCAAUUCCUCAAAUCGAAGGGAAGAAAAAAUGGUAUCUAAACUUCAAACGCACCUAACUUCGCCUACAGUGCACCAUUUCAUUCGAAAAUUAUAUCAACAGAAUCAGGGUGAAAGGAACUUCAUGAUUAUAUGCUUAUAAACAAGAAAUAUGCCACGCGAAUUCUGGCCUUUUUCUGAAGCUUUAUCCAUGGCAGUGAUGGGUUUGGGGUCCUUUGGCCUUGGAAGAAAAAAACAGAAGCUCCUCAAUACUCCAGUAGACGAAUGGAUGAAGGAUUGAAGUUCAAUAAUGCUUGGUUAUUCUCAAAAUUCCAACUGUCAUGAAAAUGCUCAAUGUACAGUUCAAAAAAAAACACAGCACGAAAAUGGUGAUUUUCUAGCUCAAAUUCACCUCCAGAAGGUUUGUGUAUGUUGGAACAAAAGGGAUCAAGGCAAGUUCUAUGAAGAUUCUCAAAAAAAUUCAAAUGGAGCAAAAUGAGAAAUUUUGAGAAAAUGCCAUUUUCUGUUUUAGUGUAGUGUGCUAGGGUUCUGCAGAGGUAAAAUGAAGCAUUUAUAUGUUGUUUAGCAUCUGUUUAAUCAAGGUUUAUGGAGAGUGAAAACAGAAUUUGCUAAUCAAGCCAUUUUGCUAAUUGACCAUUUUUUCACUUAAGUGGCAAGGUGGAGNAGCCAACCAAAAAUUCAGCAAAAAUCAUGAUAAAAUAGUAGACAUUCAACAGGACAUGAUGCAAAAAAUUCCAUGAUUUUUGGAGUUGAAAUGAAAAUGUUAUGAAUUUUGUAAGUUGAAGAAUGAAUUUGGAAUAAGUAAACAAAAUGAACAUGGUUUGGAUAAGUCAACGGUUGACCAGUGGCAAUUUUGUAAAUCUCGGCACCACUAAUCAAAACGGUGCGCUUAAGGCCAGGCACAUGAAAUGUUCUCAUUGGUUGUCACCAAUGGAACAGUAACUCAAGCAGAACAACAGCCAAUCCAUACACGAGUUCUGGGCAGCUUUAGGGUUUUUAAAGCAGCAAAUUCACUUUCAUGGUCAUCAUUAUGAGAAAAACGAAAUUCACCCAGACUUCAUAAAUAUCAUGGCAAUGAAACAGUAAAUUCAUGCAACAUCAUUCCAAAGCAAAGACCAAAAAUGAUUUAAAGAAAAAUCUGGAAAAUAGUUCUUAGAGUUUCAACAGCCACAGCAAUUAACUUCAUCACUACCAAUCAAUCGUGAAAAUCAGAUGCCCAGAACAUGAAUAGCAUGGCAUCAAGCCCAACAUCCAGUCAUCAUAAAUCCAGCAAGCAUUAACAUUAAAUCGAGCUAAUCAUCAAGAAUCUUGCAAAAUAAAAUGACUAACAAACUUUAACUCAGAUUUCUCCUGAUAGUCAACCAAUUCAAUGAUACAAUUCAAUGGACAGCAAUGAAUAUUCUACCAUAAACAUAGCAUGGAUUAGAGAAAGGGAGACACAAUCUUACUUGGAUUUGAAGAAACUUGAGAUGCAGUGGUUAUUGGGGCUUCAAGCUCAAACAGGUGGAGAUAUAUUUGGAAAUGAUGAAUACUCGAGGAAAGCUUAGCUCAUGUAUGCUUGGAAGAGUCCAAAUCUCGAUUGCCAUUGAAGAUGCUUGAAGAAAACAGAAUAUGAAAUUAUCUUCCAGCUGGGUUUGUUGCUUGAAAAGGCUCUCAAAUUGGCUAGAUCAUGAACAAACAAGAGAGCUCGUGGCCUUUUGAAAUCUUUGAGCAGAAAUUGCAAUUUUUCAAAAUGCAAAAUGAGAGAAUGAGAGUUUCUGUGCUGUUUUCAGGCUGCUGCUAGGUUGAAUCUCACAGAAAAUGAACUAUUAUGGACUGUUAGCAUUAGUAAUGAUAUGCUAAGCUUGGUUAACUCAAAUGAAGCAAAUGCCAAAUUGCUAAUUUCCAAUAUAUGCAUAUGGGGUGUAUGUUCUGCGAGUUUGGCCUUGUGCAAGCUUCAAAUGACAUCUAAUCAAUCCCAAAUGGCAACUUGACAGAAAUUACUUAAUCAAAACUCAAAUUUUCACUUCACUUGAAAUUCAACCAUGCUAGGUUCAAAAAUGCCAUUUUGAUUGGCAAUGUUUUGGCACAUGAAAUUUAUAUUUUUGGAAAGAGGAGGUAAAAUGUGGUUUGUAGGAAAAACCCCCACUAAAAUGCUGUGUUCAUGAAUAUGGCUCUUUGAAGUUCAAAAUUUGUGAAAAUGAAUGAUCAUAUCUGACAACCAUACAUGGGAUUUGAGAGUUCUUGGACUUUUUGGAAAUGGGAGAACAAGAUCUUCAACUUUCAUGUUGGGCAAAAAUUCAUUUGAAGCUUGUAUCAUGAUGUAGGUUGAGGAUCGAGAAGUUUCCAUUUUUGGCAGUUAAAAUUACAGGUCCACUUUCUAUUUUGGGAAAUUUUCUGAUUGACUUGAUUUUCUUCCAUGAUGGUAUUUAACAUGAUAUAUGAGGCUUAUAUAAGCAUGAAUGAGACCUCUCAGACCAAAUCCCAUCACCAAAUCACUGAUUAAAUGGAUAGUUGACCAAGUUUGACUUCAGUUGACUUUUCUAGGGUUUUGCAUGAUUGAAGCAUUUCUGAUGAAUUCCAAACCCUAAUUCCUUGAGAACUUGACUUCAAAUGAUGUCCCAAGUUGUAUGAACUUUUGAUUAUUGAUCAUGGUGCCCAAAUUCUGCAAGAAUGACCACCAUCCACUGCUUUGACUGACUGUUGACUGUCUUUGACCUAAUUGCUGAUGAUUGCUUCAACUGCAAGCAACAAGGUUAGACUGACAAUAUUUUUGUACUUUUUGGUUAGUAAACAUAUGAAAAAUGCUGAUGAUUGCUUCAACUGCAAGCAACAAGGUUAGACUGACAAUAUUUUUGUACUUUUUGGUUAGUAAACAUAUGAAAAGCAAAGAUAUACAAAUGCAAGACAUGCUUGGUGAUCAAGAAUCAACACUCACAAGGCAAAACCCACUAGGAGGGAAGCUAGGGCAUGCAAUGAUCCUUGAGGCCAUGAUAUGAUAUGAUAUGGGCCAUGAGGGAUCUUAGGGCCCAAAAUUGGGGUCUUACAGUACUCUGAUGUCUUGACUGAUGUCAUGACAUACUUGAGUAGUAUGUUACAGGUUUAGCUAAUACAGGAUUUACUGAAUGUCAAACUAGAUGUUAUGACAUUCAUCCAUGACAACAAAUACUGAACUAUAGAAUAGUUGGUUUUUUCUGUUAUAGCUCAGUAUUGAGUUCAGUCUGUGUUUCAGAAGGGUAGUAGACCUGACACAUAGCCUACUGUCUGAAUGUCAAACAGAAUGUUAUGACAUUCAUCAUUGACAGCAUUUACUGAAUAAUAGGCAGGUUGGUUUUUCUGCUACAGUUCAGUAUGUAUUUCAGUCUGUUUAUCAAGGGAAUAACAGACCUGGCAUAAGGCUCAUUGUCUAAAUGUCAAAUUGGAUGUUCUGACAUUUAUCUCUGUCAGCUGAUACUGAAGGGUAGACUAGUUGGUCUUUUACAGUACAUCAUUUAAUACAGUCUGUUUUCAGGAAAAUAACAGACUUAGCAUAUGGCCUAUGUUCUGGACGUUAAACGGAAUGUUGUGACAUUCAUUCCUGACAACAUAUGCUAAAGUGUAGGAUGAUUAGUUUUUCUGUUUCAGUAUUUUUCUCAGGCUAUUUUUCAGGAAUCCAACAGCUGAGCUAAAAUCCAGGAAACUAACAACUGAGCUACAAUUAAUGAACCUAACAAAUAGCCUAUUUGUUAACACCCUAAUAUGUGGAAACUAGGUUAACUUGCUUAACCUUAAUUUUAGGAAAUACAAGUACAAGGCCCAAGUGCUGCAACAUAAAAGGAUGGCAAUCCUUCUUUCAGAACUCAGGGGUUUUAGGCGUGAAGCUUUCAUUGUACCAUCAUACUUCACUGCUGUAUUUUUGUUUGUGUCUUGUAUUAGGUGUAACUUGUGAGCCAAGCAAUUAUCACGAUCUACUAACGUAACCUGAUCCCACAAGUAAGAGUUGUAAGUGUUGUGUCACUCUAAGCUUUUAAGCGUGAGUGCUAUGUAUCUUGAUUAAAGCUGUUAAGCACAAUCAAGAGUUGUUUGAAGUGUAACUUCACCAUUAACUUUAAUCUAAUUAAAGGUUGUAAUCACCGUGGUGAUUGAGGGGGAGUGAGUAGGAACUCUGGUCUUAGUUUAAGAUUGAAAUUGCAUUGGGUAAGUAUUAAGUGAUAGGAUUAAACAAGUGGUUUAAGGCCUGAAUUAAUACUGCUAAUAGUGUAUUUCCUCUCUGGCUUGGUAGCCCUCAGACGUAGGUGUGUGUGACACCGAACUGGGUAAACAAUUCCUUGUGUUAUUUACUGCACUUACAUUUACCUGCUGUUUACAUUCCUGUCUGCGCAGAAUCGGAUGUCAUAACAUCCUGUGUGACAUCGAUAAUCUGUUAACUAGAAUUUCACAUAUUUUUCCAUCCCAUCAUCAACACUUUUAACCAAUAUUGCUUCUUCGUUAAACCUUUCAAUGUCGAUCACAUCGGCCCGUCCUUCUCAUAUCGGAUGGGUCAUAUGCUUUCUAAUGACUUAGGAUGUCGUCGAGACUUCGUGAAAUGCAGAUAAAUGUAUGUGAAAUUCUCCCUAAGAAUUGAUUGACUUGUGCCUUAACCCCCUACACGAAGUCACGACCCCUACCUUUAGAGCGAAGAUAAAUAAUUCACACUUCUCGAGGCCUCUUGCUCCCCUAAAGGUCAAGAUGAUGUCAACAAGCUCCACGUGUUUGUUGGGGUCGGUCAUCCUGUCAUAAGUUCCCAUUUCCAUGGGUUUUUGAAGUUCCCCCCUUAUGAGGUACUCCUUGAUUCUCCUGCUAAAAAGCGCGUUGGAAUGAGAUGUCUUCAUCCUUUUCAAAAUCAUUGGAGGAUAAGGAACACAAGGAACAUAGUCGAUGGUGGCCACAAUGUCUUGGUCACUUACCUUCGCAUUCCGACUCCAACAUAGAAUGCCUUCUUGGUAGUGGCGAACAGGGUUUACGUCUCUACUGACCUCAAGGUCAUUUUGAUAAUCGAAAAAGUCACGAUUCGUUACUAUAUCAUUAUGGAAUCUAAACGGUAGAAAGUAGUUGAGACUUAAAGUUUCAACCCCUCAGAGUUGUCCAUUUCAAAACUUCAAGGUUGCUUAUUGUUUAAAAAUGAACAUAUCAUUAAUUUUAAGUGUAAAAAUAUAAAAAAAUAAUUAAAUCAAUUGAAUUUAAAAAACAUAGAGAUUAAAAAUGAUAAGGUUUUAAUAAUCUUUUGAUCCUUAUAAAUUUAAGUGUUUUUAAUUUUCAUCCCUAUCUUUUUUUUUUCUAAAAAUAAACUCUGAAUUUUGAUUUUAAUUCUAAAAUUAAAAUCCACAUUUUCCAAUGAACCACCAAAAAAAAACACGUGUUAUUACAAUAAAAAUUCUAAAUUAUAAACACUAAUGAUAAAUUAUUGAUGCUUACAUUAUCUAUAGUUUUUCAUUUUACUAUUACUAUUCUAUAGCAUCCAAAUCCCAAAUUUACAAUCGAACGGGUUGUAGUUUCUCCUCUGGUGCACCAGCUGCAGACGAUCCUACCUCCUCUCUUUCUUCCUUCCUCUCAUCUUCUCUUCCACCAUUUCUGUGCAAAAUCAGAAACCUCAACUUCAAUAACUUCAACAUCGACCCGUAAAAAGAUCCGAAUGAGGGAUUCGAAUCUGGAUUUGCAGGAAUCGGGUUGGGAAGAACUUCGAAAGGAAGCGCGUAAGAUCGAAGGCGAUCUCGACGUCAAGCUUUCUUCCUACGCCAAGCUCGGUGCUAGAUUUACUCAAGGAGGUUCCGUUCCUUUUCGUUUCUUUGUUGCAUUCAUUUUUCGCAAUUCGUUUUCCAUUGAAUAAUCGUAAAUGCAUUGUGUCAAACCAAAGAAAUAUUUGUAGGAGAAUUGUGUCUGUGUUGAAUUGAAUGGUUUUUGUUAUUGGUGGUUGUUUGGAUUCAAUUUUGAGAGAGAUAAGAAUGGUUUUAGUAUGUGAUCUGAUGUUGACUGAGAGAUGGCUGGAGCGUUUGCUCUGUGGUGCGAGUCGGUGGUGCUAGCUUGCCGCCGCCAAGGAUGGUGUGGUUGAAAGCACUCACUUUGAAAAUUAUGGCGAAAGUUGAUCUAUGUAGUCGACUUGACUCCAGUUAGUGGGACAGGGCUUAUUGUUGUUGUUGAUUGAGUUAAGGUGAAAGGUGAGAAAUAUGGUGUACCUUUUAUAGUUGAGGCUAUUGAAGUAGUAUUGGAGUUCUACAUUACCAAGGUUUUCGAGUGGUUGGAUGUACAUAUGUGGUUGAACACCCUUAUCUUAUAAGCUGGUUUUUGAGAGUGAGAUCCAAGUCCAUUUAACAUGAGAUCAAAGCGGGGUUAAGGAUUUCAAGAUGCUAACUGGACUUAGGACCUAUGCUGGGCGUGAGGGUGAGGAUUGAAGUUGUAUUGGAGUUCUACACUGCCAAUGUUUUCGGAUUGUUAUGAGCUAAUUUUUGAGAUGAGAUAUGAACCCGUUUAACAUAGGUGUCAAGGU